rnacentral:lncRNA from 1 species
UUUUUUUUUUUUUUUUUUGGGGUGUUGAAUUAGAAGAAGCAGUCUCUCCAGGAAUGCAAAGCUGGAGCUGAAACUACUAUUUAAUAGCAGAUGUCUUUCUUUCAAUUCGCUUUUUCGUAAUAUUUAAUUGCCACCAAAUAUCCUUCCAAAGGCAAAGGUAUGAGAUGACUUCAGAAGGAAGAUUACAUAUAGGAUCACUUAACAGCGCAUAGGAUUUGACUAAAAUAUAUGGAAGAGGAAGACCAGCCGUUUCAAUGUCUUUCAUCUUUUUUUUUUUUUUUUUGUUUUCUAUUCAAUUUAAUUCCAUCCUUGUAUGUAACUUAAAAUAGGAUCUUGCUGCAGAUUGUGUCACUGUUUUGCCAGCUAAGGCAUUGCCUCUCUAUUGAAAAAAAUAAAUAAAUGAAGAGAGAACACCAGAGUUUUAUAUUUGUACUAAUAAUGUAUUAGUUGCUAAGGAUUUGAGCCAAUUGCAGCAAAAUCGUAUCCCCGGGUAUAAGUAUAAGACCCUUUUUUUUUUUUUUUGCCUUCUCUCUCUUCUUUUUCAAUUAUGGUUUGAAAAUUAUACGCUACCAUUAGUGAUGUUUGCUUUUAAUUAGUAGUAGUUAUAUUUGUUGAUUCCAAUAAUUUCAUUAUUGAACUAGGGCCUUGUUUGGCAGACAAGUUUUUUGUCAAGUUUGUCUGUUACAAGUUUUUUAAAUACUUUAUUAGUUACAUUAAUCUCAAAAAAAAUUUCAAAAUUUUUAAACUAUACACUUCAAAAUAUUAAAAAAUUUACACACUUCAAAAUUUUUUUUAAAAAUAUCUACAGUAAACUAAAGUAAAAUUUUAGAUAAACACCUAAAAAACUCACUUAUCAAAACGAGAUCAUCCCAGACUACACGUUGUUGUCCUCCACUUUUCUUCUUUUAUCCAAAGUCGUCACUUUGACGCUAAAUCACGUAGUAACCCUCUAUUCCAUCUCAAAAAAAAAAAGAAAAAGAAAAACCCUAUUCAAUUAUUUGUUUGCUUUUGAGCCAAUCUUGUAGAUCUCUUGUAUUUCCACGGGAAUAAAAGCCGAGUUUUUUGCCAAAAUAACACUCUUAUUAAAAAAUAUUCUCAAUGUGAUUCAUUUUCAAUUUUUAUUACCAUAAUGAUAUUAUUGUUCCCAUCUAGUUAUCCUGAUUGCCAUGUAGGAUAACAAGAAAGGAAAGUUCUAAUCCAGUUUAUAGUUUUCAACAUUAACUAAAAUUUUAAUUUUUUAUUAUAGAGGCACAAGAAGAUUGCAUAACUUUUAUAAUUUCCUUAUAAUUAUCUAAAAUAAAAUUUACCAUUAUUGACCUUACUAUUAUUGGUCUCUGAAUUUUUUUAAAUGUAUCAAACCUAUUGCAUAUAUUUUUUCAAAAAAUAAUUUUAAAAAUACAAAAAUUGCAACGAAAAUUGUAAGCAAUUACAAAAAUUUCAAGGUUAUCAUAUUUGUUUAUGUUAUCCUUCCUACUCUUUGAAAAGAUGAGAAUAAUCUUCAUCUACCUUAAAAUUAUCAACUUGCGAAACAUAUUUUUUAGAUGCUGUUAAUAUAAAAAUUGGCUUCUUAGAUUAUGUUUGACAAGGGAAAGAUAACGAAAGAAAAAAUGUGGGAAGGUUUAUAGAGAAAAUUGGAGAAGAUAUUAGAUGAGAAAGAGAAAUAGAGGACGUCUUUAUCUUUAUCCUCGCACAUAUGCAGUUUAAGUGGCAAAAAAGGAUCACAAAAGUAAUAAAUUUUAAAAUUAAGUUACUUUGGGAAUAUAUUUUGGAAGAAGAGUUAUUUUGACAAUAAACUCAAUAAAAGCCUACAUCUCUUCCUUUUUAGCAUAAUUAGUAGUUCAUUUUAUUCGAUGAGGAAGACCAUACACUAGUCUAAAUAUUGCACAUCGACUCUUCAACUUCCAUCCACUAGUCUAGAUGCAUUGUUACAGUUUUGUGUUUGGAUUGUACCUUAUUUACAUAUAUUAAUUUAAUUGCAUCAUCAACACUUUUUUAAUUAUCUUUUUAUCUUCAUAUACAUUAUAUUAAAAAAGUGCUACAGUAUUUUUUUUUAAAAAAAAAAUAUCCCAAAUAAUCUCCUAUCCAAACACAAAGGUAUGCCGGAUUUUCAAAGAUUGGCAACACCUUGGAAAUCUGAUAAAUUUGGAAAUGAAAAUAAUCAAAACAAUUAGUACAUUCUACUUAUUAGGCAAAAUAAACACAACUAGACUGACAAGCUCCAUGAGAUUUGGAUUUGGGGCAGGGACGGUCAUCUGCACGGUUAAGGGCCAAGAUUUGUCCUCAAAAUUUUGUGCGGCUGAGAUUACACCAUGUAACUCGAUUUCCGCGCUAAGUAUGGGGCCCACCACUAUCUGUUCUGAAAAUACAUCCUGUGAAAAAAAAGUUACAUCGUGUUUAACCAAUGUUACGCGCAGUGCAAAAUGAGGACAACCGGCACAAACGGUUGCACCUGCAACCGUUUGUGCCCCGUAUCCAUGAGAUUUUUCAUUCCAAGACAAAAUAAGCAAAUGAUAGACUAGUGUAGCACAUUAAAUUUGAUGGUACAAAAAUGAGUUGCGUAACAAUUUCAAAGUCAUCUUAAUUGCUACUUACACACGUCCACCUAGUUUGAUAGUACACCGAAGUAAUUGUCCAUUCGGAUUGAUUGACUCCUCUGUCCAGGAAAUUGGCUACCGUACACCAACCAAAUGGGAAAGCGAUGCUUGCUACUCAUAGGAGCUGUAGUGUCCAAAACGAGGGAAAAACGCGAGUUCGUCGGUGGCGCGAGGAAGGAGCAAAGAAGGAUCCAUGGCCUCUUCGAAUUCCCAGUAACCAACAUUAAUUACCUUUCCUGAGGUUUUGACCAUUUCACUGAGAGUGAAAUCUCUCGAGAUUUUAAAGUUUACACCUACUUACUUCUUCUCCUGUGCACCUAAAAUGACAAAUGCAAUUGAUACUUUACAGACAAAUGAUUAUCAUAUACAGUCGUCCGAUCCAUAAAUAUUCAUGAUGUUUGCAGUCCUUUAAGGAAAGUCAUUGGUGCUGGGUCCCUGUCGGUUCUAUACCCCACACGGAAUUCAUUGCCGGACUGCAGGCAAUGAAUCUGAGUAGAACUGUAGAAGUCUUUUCGUGGUUUGGUUGUAUAAGCCUUCGAGCUUAUCAUCUGGCUGGUUUUGCAUCCGGAAAAUUCAGAGGUAUAAAUUAUUAUAGUAAUAGAGUAGUUGUAGCAUAAUUUUGGAUAUGCAGCUACAUGAUUUAGGUAAGAUGGAGCUGUUUUAAGGACCUUCCUUGAGAAUUUUCCUAGUUCUCUGUUGACAACGAAAGACUAGUAUAAUUUAUUACAUUUAAACGUUUGUUGGUAAAUGACACCAUGAAACGUCCUUUGGGUGAUUUUCUCUUCUCCCUCUGCCUUACGUUUGAAUAAUUUUUAGUAACUCUGUGAUUACUUUCUUCUUUAUUAGUUGGUUAGAAUAAAAGUUAGUAUAUUUAUCCCUAAAAAAACGAAUUACUACUAUUUACUACUGACAAAUAAGAAGAGUUCUAGUCAGCAGUUUCUAUCAGUAAUGUGUUCAGGAUUUGUAUGAUAAAAAUUCUCUUCCAGUUUUACUUUCACCACCUUGCUUUGUGUAUAAAUGUAGUGUAACUGACCUCGUUCAUGCAUACACUUAGUAGUAAUUCUACAGAAGGAAAACGUAAAUGAAGAAAGAAAAAAACAGAAACAGAAACAGAAACAAAAGAAAAAGGGUUUUGUUUGGCAACUUUUGUAGUAACUUUUUAUAUACUUAAAAUCUAAAACAAAACAUGCGUCGAAUAAUACAAACACAAAGUAGUGAUUCUUUAGUAGGUAGUAAAUCAAUGAAGAAGUCACACUAAAAAGCCAAAAGGCCAUUUUUUUCCGAGACACACAUAAUUCAAAUGCUUCAUCCAGUGAUUCUUAUCGUCAGCUCCUUUUUAGCUUUUGCUUUGCAAGCUGUUUCUUCAUUCAUUCAUUCUUGAGACAGAUAGAUACCGUCAACCAGGUUCUUUUUCCCUUUUUUUUUCCUUUCUAAUUUUUUUGGGAAGUAACAACCAAGCUUAGUGUAAUUAGAAUGAUUCAUUAGUAUAAUACGUACUUAAUUUUCAAGUUCCUUAAACCUGAACUUACUGUGGCCAAGCUGAUGUUGAUGUUGUGCUACCUGUCAAGAUUUUAAUUUGCCUCCCAAGAUUUUCUUGUCAUCAGUGCGAUUGACUUUGAAAACAAAACGUCUUACACAAUAAUGGGAUCUAAGCUGUUGCUUCAAAUCCACCAUUUUUACUUUUGCUUUUACUCCAAACUAGAAGGAAUGAUGAAACUGAGACAUGAGAUCCGGUGCCCAUCACCCACGGAAUGCAUAUAUAUAUUACGAAGUAACAUAAAAUCCUCUUUUGAAAUCUGGUGCGUUUCUCUACAAUUACAAAGUAGUGUGAAACAAAACAUCUUGGUUGGCUAGCUAUAAGAUUUCUAAAAGUACUGAAAGUAGUUCAAUAACAUAAGAGUUCUAAAAACAUUUUUCAGUAUACAUAGAUCUCAACUGGACAUUAACUCAAUUUACUCUCCUUAAUUGAGUAGAUAUUUUGAUUUAUAGUUAAACAAAUUUGCAAAAGACAAAUAUAAUUCAUUAUGCAUGCAUAACUGGUAAUUUUUGGUUUUUCCCCAAAUGCAUCUCUUAGUCUGUUGUAAACUGUAGUGUACUUCUUUGUUGCGGAGAAACAUUUGCUUGUACUUUCUGUCGUAUAUUCAAUCCAAAAGCUAAAGAAGCACGUCCUUCCAAAUCUAUAUGAAUGUGAAAGUAAACUCGUACGUUCCUCGAAUUUCUUUCCAUGUUCUUUUUAUUUUUUAAUCCGUUGGACACUUCAAAAUUAAUUAACAUACUUCUUGCAAUAAAUUAGGGAUGACUUACGAAUGCCGUUUUGACUCCAACACAAGAUCUACUAGUCAAAAUAAAAAAAAAAAGAACCCCAUUAGCUAGAUCUCAUCUCAUCAAGUAGGCUUAGGUUAAAAUCUCUGUCACUCCAACAAUUUCCGUUUUAUGUUUUUCUUUUCCAUUUUGCUAUUUCCUGGAGUUUUUGUCAAAUAAUAUAUUGUGUUGAUUUGAUAUAUAUGGAAUAAAAUUUUGAUUAAAAAAUAUAUUCAUAGAAAACAUAAAAAAAAAAAUUUUUUAAAAAAGACUUUCCAAACGACUAGUGGGGAUGACUUUAACUUACAAAGAAACUACUAGUAAAUAAGUUACUUGGCCGCGUCUUUCCAAGGUACUUUCCUUACAGAUUUUAAAUAAAUAAGACUGUCGGAAAUUCUGUUGACUUAGUUAAUUGUCAGCGUGAUUAACAUGUGUAUGUCUUAAUAUGCUGUCGGCCGAAGCUUAAGUAAGUAAAACAAAAAAAUAAUCUAGAGAGGUUAUCAAAUGAAAGAUUUACAAUGUCCUCGACUAGAUUUUUAGUAAGCCUAGGCGUAGUAUAGGGCCAGGUUUGGUUUGACUUGUCAAAUUGCUAAUAAAGAAUGAGAGUAAAUACUCCCUCCGUUCCUUAUUAGAUGGCCUGAAUAACUAAUUCUUUUAGAUUAAGAAAGUUGGUUAUUCUCUAAAAGUCAACAAAAGUUUUACUUUACUUCUCAAAAUUACCCUUUAUCUCUCUUCAACUAUACCUAAUUAAUACUACCUGUCAUUUAAUUAUUUAGAGUUCCAAUUCAAGAAAGUUGAAAGGGUAAGCAAGGGUAAAUUUGGAAAAAAGUUCAUAAAUGCUUUCUUGAUAUCAUAAAAUGACAGAUAAAAAGAAACAAUGGAUUAGAACAUCUAAUAAGGAACGGAGGGAGUAAAUUGAUAAGAAUGAUAGGCUUCUAGUAGCCCUCCUCGGGCAGAUCGAUUGGUUUCGUAGUCCCCUCAUAAGGGAUAGGUCACUGGUUCGACCCCGGGGAGCUAAUGCGCUGUAAGCCUUGGGGCGGUACUCUCACAGCCGCAGGAGAUUAAUAGGGCUCAAUGGUUCCGGACACCCUGUGUCGACAAAAAAAAAAAAAAAGAAGAAAAAGAUAGGCUUCUAGUAGAUUCGUAGCGUGACAUCGAUGGAUUGCAAAGGUCUUCUCACAAAUUCUUGUGGUCCUGGCCCAACAACAAUCAAAAAGCGUCUUUUCCUUGAAAUUCUUGCACCAGGGAAAUUUCGUCUGCAAUAAAAAACAAAUUAUGUGUUGAUUUUUCCUAAAUAGUUGCUUUCAAGUCAUUUAUCCACCAUUUAAAUUAAAGAUAGGACCAUGAUUGCUUUUCUUUUUUUUUCUUUUUUUUUAAAAAUUUUCAACAAGGAAAGGGUGGCAUCUAAGAAGCAACGAGGAAGAAGAGAGACUUAAAUUCAAAAUCUCUAAAUCUCAAUUUGUCAUACCAAAUCUCUAAAUCUUGGUUAAGGUUUCAACCUUAACCACUGUACUGGUUUUCUCGGCAGUCAUGAUUAUUUUUUAUUUCUUAAUUUUUUGCUAUUGGGGUUAUUACUUGUAAUGAACUGGAGUUGUGAUUUGUAUGUCCUGAUUCUACCAUUAUAGGUUUUACUCGUAUUCAUAUUAAAAGAGUUAAAAAAGGAAAGGUUUUAAUUAAUUCCAUAUACUGAUCAAACCACUGGCUAAUUAUACGCGCUUAAACGCAUAAGUUCCCAUUUUUCUAAUCCCAACAACCUUUUUGAGUUCUUUUCCGAGGAUGCUUCUGUCGGACGUCUAAAAGCUGAAUUCCAAAACCUGAAAAGUAACUUGAGAAAACAAUUUCUUAAAACAAAGGCAGAUUAGUCUGUUUCGUAUUUCUGUUUUUUUUUUUUUUUUUGAGGUAAAGAAAACCAGAACAGAGUUGAACAUGUAAAUUUUAAAAUGCCCGUACAAUUCGAUGAUAUAGCUCUGAUAAUGUAUGCCUAGAAAGUAGAAACGAAGGGAUAUGAAUGCCUUAAAAACAGAUGAAAUUGCACAAUGCUGUUUGGAGGGAUUCUUUGAAAAAACAUUUCAGAAAUUUUUGAAAACACCCGAAAAACAACCAUUCUUGUUCCGGGUUUUGUUUGGAGCUGAUUCAUGCAUGCUUUUUGUAGAUCAAAAUUGAAUUCUCACGGUAAAAAGUAAAACGAAAACAAAUGAAUAGGAUUAAGAAAUAAAAAAAAAAAUGCUGCGCUGCAAACAUUUCGAGCCAAAGUUUUGAUUCAUCAUUGUGCAAAUUGCUGAUAAAGUUAAACAGCCUGUUAAGUUAAAAGAAAAGGUCCAGAAAUUUAAAUUUCUGCCGACAGUUUGUAAUUAUAUGACUUUUCCAUGUUAAUUUGCUGAUUACACAAUGCUCAGUUUAACAGCCUGUUAAGUUAAAAGAAAAGCUUUUCUGUCAACACUCAACAGUUUGUAAUUAUAUGACUUUUCCAUUUCUUUUUUGGGCUUAACUUUUCCAUGUUGAUGUACCUUUUUGGAUUGCGAUUUUUUUCCAAAAAAUUUUUACAUUUUCUGUAAAUCCAUUUUUCAAUCAUUUUUUAACCUCAUACAAAUCGAAUCGUUACAGUACCUUUUUUUUUUAAAAAAAAAAAUCAGAAAAUAGCAAUCCAACCUCCACUCAACGAAAACAAUUUCGUCUACUUUCAAAUACAAAACGCUGGCUUUUAAUUUUUGAAACAUCUCAUAUUACAAUGAAUUCAAAAACGCAAAAGUGAAUCCCACAAGUCUCGUGUUGAAAAUGAAGAGCUCAUAUCACAUAUACAUCUUAUACUUUCUCUUAAAAAACCAUAAUUUGGCCAAAGUAAUUCACAUUUACAAAUUGUGACAAAGAACAUCGAUGACCGGGUCGGGCUUAAAUAAAUUGGAUUGGGAUGAAACUAGGAGAAGUUAGCCACUUGGACAGCGGAGAUGAAGAAAGCCCAAUCAUUCAAUCAAGGCAAAUACUAGUGAUUGCAAAUCCCUGUGAAGGCAAGGUUCCAACAACUACACUGCAGUUAUCAACACAUUUACAUUGCUGGCCGUCAACGUAAGUCGAAAAGGCGCCCAGCACAUUUACAUUGCUGGCCGUCAAGGGUAUGCAGACUGCUUCCGGCUCCAUGACGGGAAGUUUUGAGAGUUCGGCACUCGUUUGCUUGGAAAUCUCAGCGCAGCGAGGCCCUGAACAUUUCAAGGAAAAGUGAAAGUCAACCAACACGUCUGGAUAAUAGACCAUCUAAGAUAUAGAAAGAAACUUGGCUUCGAGAAGCCUAAGCUAUCCUAAGCUAUGAUACGUGAGAACACGGUCAACCAAAAAGCUGAUUUGUGUGCAAUAAUGAUUUUGGGUAGAAUUAGCCAACAGAUGGAGGAAGCCCGACUAUGGAAUACUUCCUUUUCUUUUGUCUGGAAGAUCGGCCAAUUUGAUUGCACUGAGUUUUUAGAGAAGCAUUAGCCAAGUCAUAGAAUGGAGCAAGUAAAUACAAACAAAUAAGAUUAGUCGUAUAAGAAAGAGGAUAAGAAUCAAUCAAAUCAAACUUAAUAGAGCCAAGUUCAGUCUAAUGCAAGCUCAGUAGGGUCCUGAGAUCGAAUAGGCAAUAGAACACUUUUCAGUUUGUCAAAUGCGCAAUGAAACUAGCUUAUAAUAUUUUUCUUUGACAAAGUACGAGUAACCUAAACUAAACACUUCCAAUUUAAACGAUGAAAAUUGCGUGGAUACCCCCAAAGUAAAAUAUCUUGGACAAAUCCACACAUGGUAAAACCAGACUUCAACCUGUUUGUAACCCGUAAUUUUUACCUUCCUGAAGCACUUGGUGAUAAUGCUGCUACUUCAUGGCGUGGGCAGUUAACCAAACUAAGACUAGUAAGUAGUUUAGGACCAUGGGAAGUUUCAUCUGCAAUUUAUGGCAGGGCAGAUCGAUUUCUCUCAUCCAAACGUGCAAGGAUCCCCAGAACAAUCACAGUAGAAACACUUCUGUUUAAAUCAACAAUGUGUGAGCAAAAGAUUUGAUUAAACAUCCGACUAAAACACUUACCUUUAAACCAAUAAAAUGGAAUUAAAGAUUGAUUUUUUCAAAGGCUAGAUCAAACACAGGAAUGGGACAAUAUGGCUGAAAGAGGAACUAAACAGAUUGUUGUAACUGUAUUAGGAGAACAAACCUGAAGGUCCUAAUUGCCAUUGUUAAGUUUGAUAUUAGGAAAAAUGGCUGCAAGUGUAUGUAGCGAGACAAUAUCUAUCUCAAAUCGAACCCUUUCUCAAGCUCUUGCAGAAUGAUCAUCUCAUCCAAGAAAGGCGCUUUUUCUGAGAUCAUCAAACACACGUCACUGAUGGAGACGGGCUAUCUGCUAAGCAUGUAACCUGAGGAGGCCUAACUGAAAGCAAGGCAACAUCAUUUGAAAACUUUAGCUCAACAGCAUAACCAUUGCAUCUUAGUAAGGAAGUAAGAUGUCACUAUGAAGUGCUUUUGACCUUAGUGUAUAAUGCCUUUGAAUUGGGCACAUAGCCAUGUAUGGAAGCUUUCAUUCCAUCUUCCUUUUUUCCCCCCUUAUAACUAUCUUACUUCAAAUACAUGCUUUGAAGUCAAAACUGAACCUCAGCACUCCACAAAAGAAUAGUGAGCUGCACAGACAUGGAAAUUGAGGACCAAACAGGAAUGUUAGCAAUUUGAGAAACUGAGGCAGAUACUAAUGUGAUAGUAUAGAUGUCAAUAACUGCAUUUGCAUCAAAUAUGACACAUAAUAAUUCAAUAUCCAAAACACUACCUAAAAGUAUGAGGUUCAACAGGAUGUGACAGAUACAAAACAUAAUAAGUACGCAAAAAUUUUGUUGGUGGACAAGCAACCAAAAGAACCCGCAAAGAGGUUUAAAAAAUUCCAUGUCAAGUAAGAUUUUGGAAAAUUAUUUUGGUCUUACAGACAAGACUAUGAUAGAAAUACGAGUAGGAAAAAGAAGCCCAAAUUACCUCAAAUAGCCUACAGGAGUGAACUGUAUGACUGAACUUCAUGAUCAGAUGACCACAGCAACAGCAAUAGCAAUCCCCUUUAAAAACAGCAGGAAGAACGAGGAUUGCCCUCUACCAUUAGCAAAUUGUUAAUUGAAGGAAAAACCAAGAAAUUAACAAUUUUAUGUAUGAUCUUUACUAGUUAAUCAUUUCAGACCACACGGACCCUCAACUUGUGAAGUAAGGCAAAAAGGUAUGAAUAAUUAAUGUUAUAGAAGGCUUUGAUUCGAAGUGUGUUACAUGGGUGGUCUUCCCACUGAAUGAUGGAAACCAAAAUCGAGAGUACAAGCAGAUAAUUACCUUACUUUAUUUCAGAAAAUGAGCAUGCUGCCAUAGAUGCUAGAUAGCUUCAUCAUCCAAAACUUAACCCCUUGACGCAACUUUUGCUGCAAAAUAAAAAUAACAAUAUGUAAGCACCAAAGAAAUCUACAAGGAAACAAGGAGGGCUGCACCUAAACUAAGGAUAAAAAUCAGGAACUGAAUCUCUUCAUGUUUACCGAAGCUUUAGGUGAUUUAAAUAAGUAUACCUUGGACCAAUCUGCCAUAUUUUGAAAAGCUAGGAUCCAGACCUGCCUCCAACAUUUGAUCCAAAAGCUUCUCAGAUUCUUCUGAAUCACCUUGUGCUUGUAGACCAUAGAUCAAAGUUGAGUAGGUAAUGGCUGAAGGAGAAAUCCCUUCUUCUAUCAUUGUCUCUUUGAGUUUCAAAGCUUCAGAAGUAUUACCACUUUUGCAGUAUCCAUCAAUCAAAGUAUUAUAGGAAAUGAGAUUUGGGGCUGGACCUUUCAAGCAAAGCUUGCUGUAAAGUUUUGUUGCUCGAUCAAGGUUUCCAGAUUUACAUAGGCCAUUUAUAAGAGCAUUAUAUGUAGCAAUAGUCGGGAUGAGACCCUUUUUCAGCAUCUCAUCCCGUAACUGAAAUGCUCUAUCGACAUCACCAGACAAUGACACACCAUGAAUCAGGGAUGUGUAUGUGAACUCAUCUGGAAUAAAACCUCUCACAGACAUAUCAUUAAUUACCUCCACAGCAUUAUCAACCCUGCCGUAUUUACAUAAACCUGCAAUAGCUACAUUAUACAAAUAGUUAUUGGGAAUAAUGGAACUUUUGGUGCUUUUGUCAAUUGACGUUGUAAUUCUCUCUAAAUCUUGUGAUCCAUCGUCAGAGUUUAUCAUGAGCUGGUCAGAAAAAUAUUUAAGACUUGGGGCACUAUGUAAAUCCAUUACUUUCAGCAAUACCUUGCUUGCUUCACCUCUCAUACCAAGCCUGUACAAUCCACUGAUAAUUGUGGUACAAAUUAUGGUGUUCGGAACUAUACCCUUAGCUCUCAUCUCGAAAUAAGCAUCUAGAGCUUUCUUCAGCAUUCCUUCUCUGAACCAACCUGCAAUGAGGGCUCCAUAUGUGAUGAUGUUUGCUUUUAAUCCUCUGUUCUGCAUCUCAGUGAGAACAUCUGGCACUUGGCUAAAUUUCCCAGCCCUAAAGAGUCCACUGAUAACUGAGUUAAACAUUUCAGUAGAAGCCGCAAUUCUUUCCCUUUCCAUGACAUACAAAAUUUCAAAAACUUUUUCAAUAUCUCCAGUUUUAGCAUAACCAUCACUCAGAGUCCUAUACGUUACUUCAUCAGGUGAAAAUCCCAGUUCUUUCAUCCUGUCAAACACCUGCUCCGCUUCAAUUAUUUUCCCCAUUUUACACAAUCCAUUAAUCAUUGUAUUUACAAGAAUCCUACUUUUGGCAAAGCCUUGCGCUAAAACAUGCUUCCACAGAAUCAAAGCCUUCUCAGAAAUUCCCUUGUUAAAGAGGCCAUGCAAGAGAGCACCAUAGCAAACUUCAUCAGGAGUAACACCCCUUUUAAGCAUCAAAGCCCAAAGACGCAAAGCAUCAUCAAUAGCACCACUUUGGCACAAACCUUUCAAAAGAACACUAUACGUAACAACUGUAGGUUCUACACCAUCUCGAAUCAUUGUGUCACAGAGAAUUAAUGCCUGCUGUGUUUGACCUGCCUGCCAGUAGCCAUUCAUUAGGGUUGUGUAAGUAUAAGAAUCAGGUCUUAAUUUCCAGUCACUCAUGCUCCUGACUAUUCCAUGAGCUUCACUAACUUGACCAAGUUUACAAUAUCCAUUUAUCAAUGAAUUACAAGUAAACAUGUUCAUCUUCAAUCCGAAACUCAACAUUUCCUCCUUUAUCCUAAUAGCAUCAUCCAGUUUCCCUACUUGACAAAAGCCAUCAAUCAACACCCCAUAUGCCUGUUCAUCUACAGCCAUUUUGUCACCCUCCUCCGUCUUCAUCACUCGAAACACAUUCUCUGCUUCCUCCACCUUCCCUUGCUUGCAAUAACCCUUAAUCAACAAUGUAUAUGUCACCACAUUUUUCACAAUCCCCCGUUCACUCAUCAACCGCAACACUCCUUCCGCCUUCUCCAAAUCCCCCUCCUCCACAAACGCAUUUAUUAAACUAUGAUAAAUCACUGAAUUCAACUCCAACCCAAUCUUUUUCUCCAUUUCCUCCAAAAACUCGACCGCUUUGCAAACCCUGCCAUCCUUACAAUAAGCAUUUACCAUUAUACUGCACGUAUAUACAUCCGGGACAAUCCCCAUUCUAACUAUCUGCUCAUAUACACAAAAAACAGUUUGAAAGUCAUGAUUUUUCACCAAACCACUCAACAAACUAUUGCAGGAACGUAAGCUCGGUAACCGCCCACACUUAGGCAUAUUAUCAAACACAUACAGUGCGUUCUGAAUCAAUCCUUUUUUAGCAUAAAUUUUCAAAAUCAUAUCAAACACCGUCGGAGAGAACUUAAAUUCUCCAUAAAUCCGAACUAAUUCAUCAUAAACAAAUGAAACCGAGCUUAUAUUUCUAGAGAGUUCGAUUAAUUCAUCCAAGUACGACCUCGUCUCGUCAAAAAGUCGGGCCUUGGACAAAAUGUGAACGAUUUUACAGUAAGCCUUGAAAUGGGGUCUGUAAUUUGGCUGGUUUGAAGCUAAUCUGAAGAAGUGAAGACAGGCGGAGGGGUUGAGUUUCAGUUUUUGGAGGACAGCGUCGACGAGUUCGUGGGAGAAUUGGAAAGAAAGGUUCUUGAGGUCUGUAUGGCGUUCGAGAACUAAAAGGCGGCAAACCCGAUUGGUGAGUUCGGGCGUUGUCAAGUUGGAGGGUUCUACCCCGGAAGCCCAUUUCAGGAGGGUCGCAGAAGAGUGAAAAGAGCGACGGCGGCAGAGGGGAAGAUGAGUAUGGAGUCUACGGGUGAAGCUGGAAAUUGAUUGGCAACGGAUCAUCGAAGUUUUGCUUUCAGUUGUCAAUUGGUUUUCGCAGCAGUAGCCAUCAAUUUAUAUGUCGAGCAAAGAUUUCAUAUUGGAUGCUUCGAAUAUUAGACACUUGGUGUGUGGUUCUUUUCUUUUUGAUUCUUCCCGCCUGCUAUAUAUAUACCCUCCUCCUACCAAUUCUUCUUUCUCAUCUCCUUUUUGCCCCUUUGCAGGGGACAGCUCCGCGUGGGCAUAGGGCCUCGACAAUAAGCAACUCUCCAUGGAUGGACUUUGGAGAUCAUUGAACACGAAUGAAUUUAAAUUCGGUUGGCCCAAAACAGGGAUUCGGGGCCCAAUCACAUGGUUGAUUGCUUGAUGCUUCGGCCUAAUUGUUGUACAAGCUUUUCAAUUAUCAACUUUUAGCCCCUCAAUUAUUUUAAAUCUGAAAUUAUGCCUUCAAUCGAUAAAAAAAAAAAAGCCAAAAUUUGAUCCUUUAGUCGAUUACCACCACUAAAGCUAAUGGAUCUAAGAAACGGAUCCAACUGAUAAAAACGGAUUGAAGGUUUACAUUCGAUAGUUUUUAUCGUUGAGGAGCCAGUUCAGGAUUUAAAAUAAAUAAGUGGCCAAAAGUUAACUAUGUUGAAAUAGUUUAAUGAUUCCCAAAGUAUUACCCUCCUAUGUAGGGAUUAAGGCCCUGUUCUCAAUUGAUGAUUUCGAAAAAGUUAUUUUGUUGUGUUUUCAACCGCUUUUCGAAAUUUUGGAAGUCAAUAACGAAGGUUAGUUUAUCAUUGGCAGAGUGGAAUCCUAAAAGAGAAUGAGGUGGGGAAGAAUAAGGAAAUAUGCUGGCAGUAACCAUUUCAGCGAGUUGUUUAUCAUGCAUGGGAAGCGAGGAAUGCUUGGAAUGUUAAUGAAGAUGAUUCAAAGAUCAAAGUGUCAGCUUGACUACUUGCAACGAGGUCUCUCAAGAGGUUCUAGUGGGGAAAAAGGUCACUAGAGAGGAGGAGCGGAUGAUGAGCAGCUGAAGCAAAUUAACCUCCUACUAGGUAGGUCAAAGUCAGUGUGGACGGGGCAUUUAGACGUGGCUGGAGCGGGUUAGUCAAUUAGAGAUGAAAUGGGGAUGUGGAAAGGAGGUUUCUGCAUCAACUUGGGUGUAACCAGGAAUGGUGAGAUUGAACCCAACUUGUUUAUCGUAGUUUCAAUUAAUCAACCAUAUAUAUAUAUAUAUAUAUAUAUAGAAUACAACAAUAAUGCAUUGACAAUUGGACGGUCCAAAGUACUUCUAAGCUAAGCCAAGAUGUCGCUUUAGGUUUGUAGCUUGGUUCCACAGUCUUCACAGUGUUCUUCAGAUCUCUGGCUCUUCUUCCGCUUGAUAAAACGGUAGAAAAUGUAUUGAAGGAUGAUCUGUGCAAAGUUAAAUUAAGGUCUAUCUAUCGACUGAAAUGUCCAUGAACCAAGAAAAGAGGGCCAAAUUCGGAAAAAAAAAAAGAAGCAGCAACAGUUAAAAAAAGGACCGAGUAUGUAGGAGUAGUAAAUAAAAUAAGAGUGUAGGAUACGAAAAGAUCAAGCGCCACGCACACUACAGCAUCUAGCAACCAAGGCAUGUUUGGUUGUAUCUUCUCCCGUUUAGUGCUUCUCACCAGGAUGCUGCAUUGGUUAAUUGAUUGUUAGCUUCUUCAAAUUCAUGUCCUUAAAGAACUAGUUCUAAUUUCUUUGGCUUAUUGUACGAAGGAGGAGGUUAGAGAGGAAUGAGAGAAUGAAAAAGGGAGGGAACCAACCUUCCCACGUAAGUAGCAUUAGCAAUGAGUGCAAACAGGAACAUGAGAGGAUUCAAGCCCUAUACCAAAAGGAGAUUAGAGCAUAACAGAAGAACGAUUAGAAACAACCAAAUAAAUAUUCUUGAAUGUAUUUGAAACACCAAGUAUUUCCCAAAGCAGAGAUAUUACCUCCACACUUCCUCUUUUAAUCUGGCCAAUUAACAGCGUGGAGGAGGGACACAAAAUGUUAGAAAAAUAAAUGCAAGUUCCAAAAAUAUAAAUUAGAAAAAAACAGAAGACUUGUGAAGAAAUUAAGUAAAAGACUGACGUUCAACCAAAUCUGGGGAAUUCGUCCGCCCAUGUAUAUGGCAGCCAUCAACCAUCCAAGCCAUUGUCCAUAUGCUCUGCCGUGAAGUUCAUAUUUUUCCUGUUCAUUAACAAUUUUCCAUCCCCAAGUUUCUGCUUCGAUCAAUGCAUAGAAACCCAAAAAAACUACGUAAAGUUGUAAAGAUGCCGGUUAAAAACCUCUAGUAAUCUCCUCCCAACAAAGUUCAGCUGGGAAGCCUUACUUCCUCUUGGAAUGUAGGCAGAAGCCGCAAGAAAUGUCCCGUAUCCCGCCUGAACAGGGUAAAUUAUGAUUACCCAUUUGCUUAAUUUUUGGAUAAAAACUUUUCUAUUUACUAGUAGUAUUAAUCAUUCUGCAAAUUAACUCACAGGCCCUGGAAUGAGGCGAGGUUGACUGACUGGUCUUUGGUAGAAUUCUGGUGGGAUUGCUUCUUCGUCUUCAGAUGAGGACUCGCUUUGGUGCUCAAGGGCAGGUGGACCGCUCUUUGGCUUUAUGUAAGACUGGAUUGGAGGAGUAUCACUUCCAGCCAAAGACCUAGCUGACCUAUAUAGAUUCAAAGCAACCCAAAGAGAAAAAUGAAAAAUUACCCCGUGGUCAAAACGGAAAAAAAAAAAGAAAAAGAAAAAAAAAAUAAGGAAGGAAGAUAAUAGUGUGCAAAUCUCACCUGAAAUGGAAGUCCCUCCGACGAGGUACCUCAAUCGGAGCAUUUCUUCUAUCUCUACCACUUCGAUCAUGUAGAUUUUGUUUUAAAGCACUCCUCUCGUUAUCGUCCUGGAAAGAAAGAUACAUAUACUUUGUUAAAAAUUUCUUUUUUGAUUAUUUUUUCCUAUAUUGUCAGCGUAUAUACUUAUAAUAGAUUUAUAACAUGCAUGUCACAUCAUUUUAACAUGAAUUUAAAUACUAAACUUUAUAUAUGUGAUAUACAUCUAAACAUAUUACUGUAUACAUUGACUGAUUGACAGUACAUAAAAGAUUUAUUUUUUCAUUUUUUUAUGUACUAUACUUCAUCUAAUUACUAAUAUCUAGUGCUAUAUAUCUAUCAUGUCUCUGGUUGUGCUCGGUUCGUUGGUGGGAAUUGGCCUUGAACUAGAAAAAGCGUUUUUUUCUUCUUUUCAAAAUUUCAAUUCUGGCUUAAAACUAAUUCUGAGGACAUGCAUAUAUAGAAGAAAACAUUAAAGUGCGUACAGUUUUUAUCUGCUACCUUAUUUACUUUGGUUUUACGGCCCUUCCAUAUCCGGAUGAUAUGGUCAUAGUAUAUACAUUGCAAUGCCAGUACUACUGUCGUUGCUGCGUACAACUGCAAAGAAAAUUAACCGUUGAUUAAAGAUAUAUCUUGCUAAUAUAUAUGCUCGAGGGACAUAGUUCUUUGCAAGUUAUAUCCCCAAAAGUGGUAAUGUUCAAGGGCAAGAGUAAGAUUAGUUUUACCACUGCCGUGUAAAACUGGGUAGGUAACUGCAGAAAAAAAGAACAAAAUUUCCGGUGAGAAAAUAAUACCCAUAAUUAGGUAAAGAUGAAAUUGAUACAAACAUUGCUAUAGGUAUAGACGAAUGUCAAGUUAAUUUUGGUGAGAGUGUAACAUCGCUAGCCCUUCAAAAAAAAUAAAAAUAAAAAUAAAAAUUGCUAGUGAUAAUAAGAUGACAUUGAAGUAAAAGGUAUCAAGUUAGGUCACAAAAGAUAACCAAAAAAAACAAAUAUUUAUUGAUUUAUUUAAUACCUGUGCCAAACUUAAUAUCUUCAACAAUCCUUCUAGGAACACGUGGUAUAAUUGUGGUCUCCACUUAUGUCAACCAAAAAUUUACACUAAUUUAAACAGAAGAGAUAGAUUUUCCCUCAAAAAGGUAAAAACAUAAGAGGUAGUUCAUUAAAAUCUACAAUGACAAAUUAAGCUAGUAGAAUUUCUUGAAAGCCAUCAUCGCAAUCAUCAAAGACAAGACUUUGCCGGUAUUCCCCGGCCACUAGUCCUCUUGUCUUCUUUCAUUUCUCUACUUUUUGUUUACCCCCUUUGAAAUUUUUUUUUUUUUUUGGACAAUAGUACAGUGUACCCAUAACAUAAUACGAGUUGGAGGGAAGCAAGAAAUGUUUUAAACAGAAAAAAAAAAAAAAAAAAGAAAGAUAAUGCAUAGCCCUGUACCGUGGCUGGCUCCAGAAUGCAACCGACGAGGUUGAACACGUCGCUGCAUAUAAGAUUUUUCAGUACAUCAGAUUUACAAAGUUUAACCAAAUUUCUGUACGAGGAUAAAUUAUGGCAUAUAAUUAGCAGAACAGUAGUUUAAACUAGAAAGGUACUAAUUAAUUAUUGCGUUGCAUGUAACCGUGGACAAGCAAGUACCCGACAAUCCAAGUGGAGAUAAAUGCAAGGGAGACUCCAUCGGCAGAUUUGCUCUUGAAGUUGGUGAUGAUCUGAGGAAUUUCUGCUACAGCCCAACAGACCAGACUUGCUAUUCCGAAAGCAAAUGAGAUUUCAUCCUUGAGGUUGCAGAGACAGUCCUUGAAGUAUUUCUCCACCCAUCUAACACAUGGUUUUUGCUCCACCGGGCAGUAAGAGAGUUUUAAGGGCUUCAUUUUGUUGCUAUCCAGGGUGAUCGACAAAAAGCUUAUGCAAAUUUAUACUAGCCGGGGCACGAUGUAGCACGCGCCAAUUAUUGCAAGUUACCCCAAGUAAAACCAUACCCUUAGAGAAACACCCCAAAUUAAAAGGACCAAAUCCACAAUUACACCUACCAAAUCCACAAUUUGUGAUACUUGCGAUGACAUCAUUUCUGUUUCUUUUAGUGCUGCAUUCGAAUGUAUUGUUUUCAAAAUCAACACUCAUGCGCUAGUAAUAGAACUGGAAAUGAUUCGAAUGAAAUUGUGCUUUGAAAGUUGCCAGGUUCAAUUCAAUAUUCUGGUCUCGAGCUCAAUAUGAGCUUAAAAUUUGAGCUCGAACUUGAUCCGUCCUUAUAUUUAGUAUGCUUGAACUCGGCUUGAAAACUUGACAUUAAUAUUUGUUUAAAGUUAUUCUAUUAAAACACCAAUACACAUAUUUAUCUCAAAAGAGCAGUCAAGCUCUAUUGAGUCAAAUGUUACGAAUAUUUGACCUGAUCAGACACUUAAAUGAAUCUUAAUUAUGUUUUGAGGUCAUAUAUAAAAAAAUCUAAUUCAGAUCGAGCCCUUGAUAUUAUACAUAAAAAGAGUUCAGACUUUUUCCAUUAGUUCAUUUGUAGCACAGUUUCAAUUUCCUUGUCCAUAUUCUUCUAGACAGGGAGGUCUUCAUAUUAAUGAAUGAAUGGGUAGAAUAGUGGCAAAAAGAUUUGGAAAAAAGUUGACGAGUGAUGCCAAUGCAAUUCUUGAAACUUACAGGGAAUGGUUUUGUAAUUAUGACAAAUAUUUGUGGAGAUAAAAAAGAAACAACAAAACCGCCUGCUACGUAGUGAUGUUUGGUUGAUUUUUGCCUUCUUUCACCAGCCACCAAUGCACACACAUGGGAUAUUCGAAAUAGACCAAUUUAAGAUGAGUUUUAUUCCUCUUACAUUCGAGAGAAUCAGUAUCGACAAUAUUAUAAGAAAAACAAUAAAAAUCAGCAAGAGCAGGUGGUGUAGCAUAUUCUAGGUCAUAUGCUUUUCUUUUCUUUUCUUUUUUUUUCCACAAACGAAGGUCAUAUGCUUUUCUUUUCUUUUCUUUUUUUUUCCACAAACGAAGGUCAUAUGCUUUUCUAAAUCGUACAAAUAUUGGCUGUUUUCUUCUCGGAGUCGGAGGUUGGUCGCCAGCACUAAACAUAAACAAUACUACUAAUUUAUACUCUGUCAGGUGCAACGGGUUGUUUUUGUCUGGAAACAACUCGAGCUCCAUAAGACAGCUGAAAAUGUAGUCAAAUGACUAAAUGCAAGUGGCGAUACAACUUGGCAAUUUUAUCUCUUCAAAUAAUCAUUGAUUAAUUCGAUGGCUUUUGGUAAUCUCUAAUGGAUAAUGGCAAAAUGAGACACGUGUGCGGCCAAUUUUAGAAAAUAUUUGCCUUAAGAGAAGAGUAAAUUCAAGAAACACCAUGGCAUGUUGUUUCCCAAAGGACUCGUCUUGGCUUUCCCUUCCACAAUAUUUAUUAUCUUCUGAAAUGACCGCACUUUCUUUAGUCUUUAGUCUUUAGCGGGGAAUGAACUGAGAGCUGUCAUGGGAGUAAUUAACAAAAAGGAGGGAACAUAUCUUUGAUAUAAUAAAAAAUUUUCAUCGAAUUCUCCAUGAGUUGUUGAAAUCAUUCAUGCGAGUGGGGGCAAACUAGAGGUGGCAAUAUGGAUAAAUGGUUCAUAAUUGGUUUUGACUUAAUGGAUGGUGGAUGAAAUUUAUCCAAUCCAUUUAGAUCCAUUUAAUAAAUGGAUCUAAAUGGAUGGAUCUAAAUGGAUUAUAUAAAAACCAAUUAUCCAUUUAUAAUCCAUUUAUAUAUUUUGGUUACUUUUUUUUUUUUUGUAUUACCAAGUAACUAUACCCAUUCCUGAUCCUACCAAGUAAGAAUUUCAUGAAAAUACUAAAGUAUUUCCAUGUAACUGUCAUCUUAUAUGAUCCAAGACAGAGGACAAUCAAAUGAACAAUAUUGCUGGUUGAACGAUGUACAUUAGUAUUUCCAUGUAACUGUCAUCUUAUAUGAUCCAAGACAGAGGACAAUCAAAUGAACAAUAUUGCUGGUUGAACGAUGUAAUGUACAAGACUUAUGCAGCAAGAGCCAUUGUCCUUGAAGAUUUCCAUGCAAGCUCUAGCUUGAACAGCAUCCAAUCUCUUCCAAGAAGAUCCCUCAUCUUUGAUAUUGAUCGUCUCUCCUUUAGGAGGAACAGAUGAAGGAGCACCUUCAUCAAUGGCCUCGACUGCCUUCCUACACGAGUAAAGCACCAACAGCUCCUCUGUAGUAAGCACUGGUAAUGGCAUGGUACCUGCAGCGGGCAAAGGAAGCAUAUGAAUGCAGAAGUUAAAUGCUUUACAAUUUAUUUAUGCAAUUCCAACUACUUGUCAUAAUUCAGAAAUGCAUUACAGCUCAAGUACUUGAUUUCAGCUGUAGUGCAUAUGAGCUAAAUACUCCUUUAACUUGGGCAUAAAAAAAAGUUCACAAAAAUUAGAUUUAAACACAAAAGUUUGCAAGAAAUAAGAACAAACAGAAAAAGUGAUUAGAGGAUGCUAUAAAGAAAUGCUAAUAUGAUUAAAAUUUCUUGGUAGAGAUAUGGUCUUAACAAAAGUGCAGAGAAAGUAUGCAUGCUAAAAAAUUACACACAACAUGGCCUAGGAAGCAUAUGAUGCUGCCACUGAGAAGUUUGUAGUGCUAUAGAUCAUAACCUUCCCAAAACACAGCUCCUCUUUUAGUCCAGCAAGGGCAGUGAAUACUAGUCCCUAAGGAGUGAAAGAAGACACGAACAAAGGGCCCAUCAAGAAGCUGCAAAACUAGAAACCAUACCAAAUAAGCAACAGCUAGGAGUCUACAAUCCCAUCCAAUCAUCCAUGAAGGCACUCUAAUAAAAUACUUAAUUGCUUCAUAAAUCAGUAACCAUAUUACCUUUGAGCAAUCCAAUAAGUCACAUGACUAGAUUUCCUCUUCGUAAACCUCCCUAUUGGAGCCAAGAAGUUUUGUAACUAAUGGAGCAAAAUCUGUAAUUAAUGCAGCUUCUUCCUCGGCAUUUUCUUGUGAAACUAUAUUAAUAUCAUAAAACAGCAAAUACGUCAUUUCUAAAUAAAGAAAAAUAAUAAUUUAACUACCGUAAAUAUUAUGUGCAGUAAAAGAAAUUUUUAACAAAAUAAAGAAUAUAUAAAAUACUUACAUUUUUCACCAUAUAACCAAUCUUUAGUGCAUAUUAAAGCUUCUACAUUCUCUGGCAAGAUGGUACUACGAUAUUUGUUGAUAAUCCGACCGCCAACGCUGAAAGCGGACUCUGAAGCCACUGUAGUAAUAGGAAUACUCAAAAUGUCUUGUGCCAUCAAUGAAAUCGCUGGAUAUCGAUUUCUAUUUUCUUUCCAAAAUUGAAGAACAUCCAAAUCUUCUUUUGCUGGAAGCCUAUUCUCAUUUAAAUACAAAUCCAACUGUGAUGUAUUCCUGUUCAAAUUAUAGUGUUCACUUUCAUACAUGGUAAACUCAUCUAUUUCAUCAGCAAGAUUAGAAGAAACUCCCUCACUAAAAGAUGCUACUUGUGAUGAAUCUGCCAUAACGGAGGGAUAUAAUUGCAUAUAAUCAUCAAACAUGAAAUGCAGUUUCUCACGAAUCUCCCUCACACGUGUAGAAAAAGUUCUCGGGUAUAUCUUUGUCAAACAAAACUCUACCCAUUGCAACUUAAAACGUGGAUCCAAUAUCACAGCAAAACUCAAAACAAAACUGUAACACUCCCAAUAUUUGUUAAAUUUAUCAUGCAUUUUCAUAGCCAUUUGCACAAAAUCAUCAUCUUGACUAUGCAUUUCUUCACAAAUCAACUGCUGAAUUUUCCAAACCCCAUGAAAAUAUAAAUUAGCAGUAGGAUAAUGAGAUCCAGAAAACAAUGUAGUGAUAUCAUAAAACGGUUUUAAAAACAGAGAUAUGCGAUGAACCUUUUUCCACUCUUCAUCUGUUGGAAACCAUUUAUAAUUUGGAUCAACUAACUGCAAUUCUUGAAAUGUUCCUCGAUGCUCCAAAGCAGAUUCACACAUAAGAUAUGUUGAAUUCCAUCUUAUUGAAAUAUCUUGUCGAACUUUCUUUUUGCAAUUGAUAGAGACUCUAGCAAUGCAUUCAGCAAAUUUGACUUUUCUUGCUUCACUUGACCGAACAUACUUGACAGAUUCCCGUAUUUUUGAAAGAGGUUGCUCAACUAUUUCUAAACCUGCUUUUACUAUCAAGUUUAGAAUGUGUGCUCCACAACGUACAUGAAAGAAUUCUCCAUCACACACCAACGGACCAGCAAUCUUCAAAUGACGCUUCAAAACAUUCACCAAAACAUCAUUGUAGGCUGCAUUAUCCAUAGUCAAUGAGAAAAUUUUCUUUUCAAUUCCCCAUUCUCUAAUUAAAUCCAUUACCCCUGUUGCCAAAGAGACACCAUUAUGUGGUGGAGGAAUAUGACGGAAAUUCAAUAUCCGUUUUUGGAGCACCCAAUUUUCAUCAAUAUAAUGAGCCGUAAGUGCCAAGUAACCAUCUGUAGUGGAUGAACUCCAUAGAUCGAAUGUCAAACAUAUUCUACUCUUCACAUUCUCUAAGGCAUGUUUAAGAGUUUCUUUUUCUCUCGAGUACAUUCUCACAACAUCUGCUUUGAUUGUGUUUCUUGAUACAGGUUUUGACUCUUCACAUAAGAAGUUAUGCAGAUCUUGAAUGCCCUCAUGUUCCACAAAUUCAAAAGGGUAAUUAUGUUUUAUAAUAGCAACUGCAAUUUUUUCACGAUACAUAUGUUGAUCCAAAGGAGCCCCAAAGCUUGUAUUCUUCAACUCUCUCCACUUGCAAGAUUCAAAAUGCUUGAGCAUAUUAGAUGUUCCAGAAUUACCUUUUAAUAAAUAUGUUUGUGCACACCAUUUACACUUAAUUUUUUUCCUUCCAUCAGCAGUCACUGCUACAGUAUCAAAACCAUCCCAAGCAAUUGAUGUUUGCCUCCUAAUUCGCUUGGCUGAACUUUCUCCGGUAGCCUCUCCACUUUCAGGUAUAGAAUCUGUUGAUGAAACUCGCUCAACAUUGUGCUCUUCUUCUCCUUCCAUUUGAACAAGUACCUAAUAUUCAUUGCACCAAAGAAUAGAAAAAAAAUUCAGAUCUUAUUAAGUGCAAAAUGACAGCAAAAAAAUACUAGUUAGAGGAAAGGAUUAAGAUAACAUUAAACAUUUAGAAGUCCAGAAAUCCCAAGCUUGCAAUUUAUCAUGCAUUACUUACUCUAAAAACUAAAUUUUGAUCAGUUUGCCAGAUUUCGAUGCAUGCAAUCAUAUGUCAUGUCUUCUAAUUAAUGUUAGACAUAACAACUCUAACUAAAUUUCCUAAUGUCCUCAUCACAGUAAUGAAUUCAACUAGGAAUAAGGACCUGGGAAUUAGUUGUCUGCUAUAACAUGAAUCAUUCUAGAGAAAAAUAUUGUACAGAAUCUCAUUCCAGGUAUCAGUGACUCCAGGGAAGCUCUCGUUGAAGUAUCCAUUUUAUCUUGUAGUGCCAAUUGACAAGUCCCUUCCCAACUUAGUUGGGAUUUCUGAACCACAAAUUCUGUGGUGCCAGGCUUGCACUCUAAUCCUCCACAAGGAAUCGUUGGGAAAAAGUAAUGGGUUUGCUUCAAAGCCAAUCGAAUCUCACUUGUUUCAGCAUUACAACCAAAAGACUUACAACUCCUAGUCGUCACAGCAGCUAGCCACAUGCAAAUGAAAUGCGAUAACCCCAAUAAUUCAAGUUAAUUAGCCAGCCCAAAAGCUUUGAUUUAACAAAUAUUGAUUGGAAACUCAACAACCUAGAACCAGAAACAGAGACAGACCCGUUCCCUCCUAAUUAUCAAACAAUUUAAGCGCAAACGGAAAACAAAGACGAAGAUAUCAGCAAGAAAAGGAUGAAGAUUUACCUCCGAUCACUUGCCCGCAAAAUUCAUCCUCACUCGAUCUGGGAUCCUGGGUUGGGUAAAAUUUUAGGAGGAUUCAGACAGAGAGGAUGGAUUUAGUUAAGUAGUGAUUAGAACAGAGGGGAAUGGGAGGCGAUGGCCGUGAAGGAGGGAACGAAACCGGUGAAAACGAGGGAGCACGGGGACGGCAUUUUCACAUCCCAACGUUCUAUUUUAGAAUAGCUCAUUUUUUAGUCAUUUGCUGUCCGUUUCUUUUAUUUGGUUUUCAAGUAAAUGGAUAUAUGUGGUUUUUGUGGAUAAUCCAUAUAAAUCCAUUUAAUUUAAUGGUUUUACUUUGAUAAACCAUUUAAAACCAAUAUUAUAAAUGGAUAAUCCAAAUCCAUUUAAUUAUGGUUUAUAUGGAUGGAUAAAUGGAUUUCAAUCCAAAUUGCCACCUCUAGGGCAAACCGUAUCCUCCCAAAGAGGUGUCCACAUUAUAACGACAUUCUAAUGAUAAUCUUCCAGUUUCUUUUUUUUUAUUCAUGGACAGGGAACAUAAGAAGCUUUAUCAGACCUUUAAUUUCCAAUUUUUUUCUCUUUUUUAUUUUUAAAAAAAAAGUUUUCGGAGCCGGCCAAUCAAAGUAUUUAAGAAAAUCGUUCGAUCAGGGGAUUGUUCUCUGAUUAAUUGUUUUAAUUGAUUAUAGAUUUUGAUUUUGAGUGAUUAAUUUUUUUUUAAUGUUCUUGGUUGCUUUUACAGUAUCAUUAUAUAGAUAUGUUAAAAUUUAAAAGUGCUAAGUAUGCAGGAGAUUGACGUUGAAACCCGGAUGUCUUUGUCAAAUAUCGCCAUUAAGCAGCGGAUAAUGACAAAAAGAGACGUGAAGAACGCCAUCGAUGCGCAGCAUCUAUCCUGCAAACCAACCAGGAUUGUCGGUAUGUGCAGCACCCCACAAAGAUUACUUACAGCUAUGCCGUCCGAUAUUUGAUAUUUCUGUUAAUCUAACGGUGCAGAAGAAAUCCAACUUUGGGAAACGAGUAUUGAUAUUAACCAUAACAUACUUUAUCAUGGACUACUUCACAGGAAAUGGAUAUUCAACGAAAAGACCCUUUGCUCGACUUUGCUUGACCUUAUCAUCUACUUUAGCCAAUUUAAAAGAUGGCAAAAGUUUUAAGGUUCAACGUUCGUUUCAUUUCCGAGUAGAAGGCCCCCGCACUCUCCAAGAAGUUCAUUUUAAUACUGGGAAAAUUGUCCGAAGCUUUCAUUACAUUUCGUCCAAUAUAUUUGUCCGUCCUUUACUUUAAAAUAUUAAGUUUACAUCCUUUGUAAAUUUAAAUUAACAAAAUUUGAUCGCAACUUAAAUUUUUGAUCACUUUUUAGUUUGAAAUUACUACGUGACCGAUAUGUUGUCCAUUUUUAUAUAUAUAAAAAAGUCAAAUCUCAAUUUUUACUGUAAAAUGAAUAUGGAUUGGAUUGGAUCCCACUUUUUUGAGGGAAAAAAAUAUGUUUUGAGUCAGAACCUACUUUUUCUAAAACAAAAAUGAAUAUGAACCGAGUAAUUUGUUUAACUACGAAUAUGACCUAACAUGUUUGCCCCUAAAAAAAUGGCCCUAUGUGGGUCACAUAAUGGAUUCAGACUAAAAAGUAGUACAAAAAAAAAACUUAGGUUGAAACCAAAGUUUACUAAUUUAAAUUUUGUAAGAGACGUAAAAUAAAAAUUUUGACUAAAUAUGAGGGAGGUUUUGACCAAAUUUUCCUUUAGUAUUUGUUAAACUUAAGUAAGCUUGAACUAUUUAUUUUUAUUAUAUAUGUACAUGCUCUUGAAUUCAGCUUCCAAACAAAUAUGUCCUGUAUCUACACUUGCAAAUUACAUACAUACAAACAUAUCUAUCUAUGAUCCUACCUCUGAAAAAGAAGUUUUUUUUUCAAGGGACUAACAGACAUAUUAUACACGAUUAGUUACAAAAACCUGACCAGGUUCAAUGUAUGAUGCUUAGUUUAUAUUGCAUGAAAAAGGAAAGAACAUAAUGAAGAGAUAAAAGGGAAAAAAAAAAACUCAAAGAAAACUCUCGCUUGGCACCUUAUGUAACUAACUGCGUCCAGAUACAAUGUAUCAAUUGGGAGCCAGCACUAUGGCAGCUGCCGUCGGGACUAAACUAUGAAUUCGGGAGUGACUCAUCACGGGUCGUCGGAUCCAUAUAGGAUUUUACGUCCUCCAUUUAUCAAAUUUCCAAUGCAUGGCUAAAUCUAUUACGAAAAACAUAUUCAUCAAUAAAAUGAAACAAAAUUCCACGCAUUCCAGUAGCCAAACAAUUGAAAGUGUUCAUAAAUAAACCUUCGGUGCACUUGAGCAUGCAUGCAUGAAUUCUUGCAGUCUUACAACAUUUACGAUUAAAUAUUCAUCAAUUUACUUGAUGAGGCCUAAGUUAUAACCCCACCCAGUCUUGCCUUUUGUGUAGAAGUUACAUAGCUUUUCUUACCGAAAACUUUUUACUUGCUAUCAACUCAUUCCAACCAGAUAAAUUAGCAUCCCAAGUACUAAAAUGGUCGAGGAUGAAGCAACGAAGUCUAUUAUAAGAUGCAUGUGUUAAUGCUGAUUGCAGCACUCCCCAUCCUGCAGGUAUCACAUGUACCCAACUUUUUACCAAUCUUCCCACGACAAUCGACGUACAUAUUUGAGUUGCGUGAAUGGUUACGAUGACACACGUAAUGCACGGACGCCAUUUGUAUAGUAGCAAUCAAGGAGACGAAUUGAUAACAUGACUAGUCACUAUGAUCUGCCUGUCAAAAUGAGAUUUUUUAUGAAUUUUUUGCUAUAUUUUUUAAUUUUUUAUUAUAUAUUGCUUUUUUGAAGUUACUGUAUUUAUAUUUUACUUAAUUAAUAGUUAUUGGAUCUUAAGGAAACAAAAAGAACUUAAACGUGAUGUUUAUGUAGGAGAAAUAACAAUAUAAUAAAAAAUGGGACAGAGAGUGAUACAGGAUGUGGGACAGAAGAUCUGUUGCGUGUCACAACCCUCCUUUUUUUUUUCUUUUUUGUUUGAUAUUAUCCCUCCCACAUUCUUAACUUGUUCGUUCGAAUACAUUUAGUGAUUUAGAUGUUAGGUGCGUAGCAGCAGUUUUAUGGACGGUAGUGAAGGAAAAGGUUGCUAUCCAAAGAUCAACCGGCUGGUUGAGGAUAAGGCGCUCUUCAGUCAGUCUUAAUUUUGUGCGUGCAAGCGGGCAAAUUAAUGUUUGCUGGCUUUCCUGAAUCAUGACAGCACAAGGGGCCUGGGGAUUAAUUAAUUUGCUUUUAGAACCGGAGUUGCGGAAUUUUGAAGCUCAUCGGCGUAUGUCACCAUCGUUCAUUGGCAGUUCAAGUCGACACAAGUUCUGGGUUCUGCGGAGAGACAGGUGUUGGCUUAAGCUAUAGGAUGGAUGGAUUUACAUGCACGAGUCACCAGGAUUGAUAUGAGCCGUAGUUCUUUAAUGCUUCCGUGAUUGUUCUUUGAUCUUUUGUUCUGCAUUUGGGAUGGGAGGUAUACCUCUCCUGAAACAUCCGUUUGUCGCGUAAAGGUUAUUUAAUGCGUUUUACAUUUUCGUGUGAUUGACAGGUUAUUGCAUGAGUCGAAAUUCAUCCGGUGCGCACUCUCGCGUAACGACAUUGGCUUCCUUUGUCAACAAAAUAAUUCCAGACCCUUUCCAUGCAAAAUUCCUAAUAUAAAAUCUUACCGUUUUGCACAUCGAUGCUUGGAAUUAAAAUAUGUUGCUGGUACUAACAAGGGUUUCUCCCUUCCAAUCGUGGGAAUUAUUUAUGUUAGCGAAUUAAUAGUACUCUACCACAGAUUAUACCUUUGAGACAUGGAUUCAUGAGCCAAUCACUACUACAUUAAAACUGCCAUUGCCCAUAUCUUAGCUGGAAUGGUGAAGGGCACUUUUUUGGUUGAAGGAAAAGGGGGGAAAAAAAAAAGGAAGGAAAGAAAGGGUGAAGGGCGCUUCUUAAAGCCAACGAACAAAGACUAUAUACACUUGUAAUAUGAUCAAUAGCUGGAACAAGCCAUCAUAACCUGAACGUAUUCUAAAUUAUAUGAACACUCGGAAACUGACCCUUUAAGUUCCCAUACAUAAUUAGAUAGUAAAAGAAAUAAAACAACAUGCAGUAUAAAUUGAGAACUAUAUAGUUACAGAAUCAUUGCAUCAAGUUCACUGGGAAUGCUUGUUCACGUCGUACAAGGGGAUUACUCUAUAUUUGUUUUCUUGAUAUAGUGGUGAAAAUUUUUCCCAAAACAAGCAACAUGGGCCGUUUACCCAUGACCCAAUCUCCAGUCCAAAACACUAAACUUGUCAUAGUUGUCAUUUCGACAGGGUACCCAUUUAUAACUGGCUGAUUACUUUCAAAAAUUUUAGAAGAUGGGCACGGUCUAUUUUGCAGACUAACAUACGUGCGGACUUAUUUGUCUGCAGCCCAAAAAGGCAUGGUUUAUGUGCAGACUUGCAUAGACAGUUAAGUAAAUAUUGUCGAUGCUUGUUCAUUUUUUUCUAUUGUUUGUGUGGGAUGUGAUUUUUUUUUUUUUUAAGAUUUGGGAUUUCUUAUAUCUAUCUCGUCAGUUGUCACGACAAUAUCAGAACUUGAAAUAGUUAAUUAGCAGAUGUGGUGUUGGCAAUUGAACAUGUAUAGAUGUUCUCGGUGUUUUAUCUUUGAAUAUGUUUAGAGUUUCACGGCGAAAUCUUUCUUUUUAUCAAAUUUUCAAAUCUAUAGUAUUUGUUCUUUGAGAUUUAUUAUGCAUGCAUAUGUCUGAUGUAAUUUCUACCAUUAAUACAAAUUUAAUAACAUUUUGAUGUUUUAUCCAAAAAAAAUUUAAAAAAAAGUAUGAGAAAAGCUCAUAGUUAGUUGGGUAUCGAAAGGUACUAGAAACUUUUUUAAACUCCCAAUGGAAAUAUUUUGCAACCAUAAUUAUAUAAACCAAAUGAAACUAAUGCAGAUAGUACGGCAGCCUCCUGCAUCCUUGUCUUUCACAUACAGCGUGACAUAGAUAGAAGACAAUUCUGAUAAAUUUCUCUGCUACUAAUUAUGCUCCUCAUGCAUGCGAUUACGAUGAACAGUUAUAAUAUAUGUAGAGAUCGAGACUGAAGUUACAGCUAUUAGUGAUUUCUCCAAUUAUUUGUGUUUAAAACGUCAUCUAUAGAAAAAUUUAUUCUGCAAAGUGCGUUGUUAGGCAGGUCAAAACGUUAACCAACUUUACGGAACCUAUUGCAAAAGCUUCUAUACUCUAUAGUGUUUGCCUAACACUGCCUAUGUAGCAAGAUAGUGCAGGUACACUUAAUUAUUCUUGCCAUGUUCAAUUCGGCAGGUUUGGUUUGUGCCUGUGCGGUUGGCCAUCAAUUGAGCGGUCAUGCAUGUAAGCAUUGACGAAUGAAUGUGUGAUACAGCCCAAAUUGAUUUGAUGUGUUUUUAGUGGCCCAACUUGCUCAGAGGUUUCCCAAAAGAAUUGUUGUUUAGUACAUCAUAGAUUGAGACGGAAUGAAGAGAUUAAGGAAAAGGAUAAACAUCACAUAAUGUUAGCCGCACACCAAAUUAUUGCCACAAUUUCAGGGGUCUUUCACGGAAGAUGCAGCAAGAAGAACCUUACGAAAGUUAAAAUCUUAAAAAGGGUACCAAAAUUUCCAGUAACUUUCCGGGAGAAAAGUUACUAGUACUACCAUUUUCAGUUUCAGGUGAAGUCAGCUCCAAUUUCAAUCCAAGCAACUACGAAGUUGCCAUGCAAUUUCAUUAAAGACUGCCAGCCAUUAUUGUUAUAGUUGUUUCUACGUUAUUUCUCUGCAAGUUUCCUUCCGACCGUACCUCUCCGCUCAACUUGCUUGAAUAUCUCGACAAACAAUUGUUGUACGAGAUAUUCAUUCAGCAUAAGUGCCUAUUCAUCUGUAUUACACAGCGAGUACUUUUUUGCUUCAGAAUCUAUACACACUAUCCCUCAAAAACAAAAGGUCAUCCACCAAACAAUGGCAACAGCUACCACCAUUGCUGCCAAACCAUCAAAAUGGUUCGCCAACAAAACUUUAAAGCUAAGCCUCCCUCGUUUUCGUUCAAAAUCUAGAUCUUCGACCACUUCUUCCUCCUCCGCCAAUUCUUCACCAAAAACUAGCACCAGUACCAAAGAAAAUGAACUUCGACAAGUUUUUAGCUACUUUGAUGAUAACAAAGAUGGCAAGAUUUCGGUCGAGGAACUUAGAGCAUAUUUCUCUUCUGUCGGUGAUUCAAUGUCCCGUGACGAGGCUCAAAGGGUGAUUCUGGAGUUCGAUAAAGAUGGAGACAAUUUGUUAGAGUUUGGAGACUUUGUUCAAUUAAUUGAAAUGGACAACAAGGGUGACGAGGCUAAUGAUUACGUUAAGAAAGCCUUCGAGAUGUUUGAGGAUGACAAGGGCUCGGGAUGCAUCACUCCUAAAGGACUGCAACUAGUUUUGAACCGUCUUGGAGAUCCAAAAUCCUUGGAAGAAUGUGAAGCCAUGAUUCGAGCUUAUGAUCUUGAUGGCAAUGGAGUUCUAGAUUUCAAUGAAUUCCAUACAAUGAUGUCCUAGGCUCCCAUGAUUCCCCAACACACGCACGCACCACCCAAAAACUCCCCCCCGGGCGGGAACAUGUUGAACUUUGUUUGCUGUUUUUUUUUUUUUUUAAUUGUACUAUAAAGCCUGUUAUCGUAAGUGUUUUUACAAAUUGCGUAGUUAGUAGUGUUAGAAAUUCUACAUAUAUAUAUUUUUUUAAUUUCAUUAGAAUUAUGCAGUAUGGAGGGCAAUGGGUACUAUUUGAUCGUGCAAAUUCCCAGAGACAGUAAUGGGGCCUUUAGAGGAUUUUCUGCGGUACUGGGAUGUAAGGCUUGUGAGUUUAGAUGUUAACUUGACCCCGUGUCUCAAGGCCCAAUUAAAUGUCUUGGAGAUGUCGUAAUUCCAGCCCUCCUUAACCAUUUGAAGCCCAGCGCCUUCAGGCCUAGUAGGCCCAUCACAUCGUUUUAAAUUUCAACCCGUUUCGCAAGAGCUUGAUUUGGUUCCCCCUUGACUUGAUUUUACGAAAACUGAUCACGAAAAGAGAUUAUAAAGAAUAAUUAAAAUUAGGUAAAACUAAAAGAGUAGCUACUCUUUGAUAGGUCUUAAAAGUAAAGCUACUCUUUGCUGAGUAAAUUUACUCAGGAAAGAUGGCUGUCUUUGCCAUUGCAUAAAUGUUUCAAUAUCUGUCACAGGUGAAAGAAAAGGGCUCUUGAAUUCAGCAAGGCAUAAAGUUAGAAGUCAGGUUUUGAAACUGAGCAAGAGGAAGAUCAAAAAUGAUUUCUAUUAAUGUCUCUGUCAUCAAUGUACAUCAAUAUAGAUGAUAUCUACAAGGUAUAAGAAUUUUAUCCUUUCUCUGAACUACUACUAUAUUCAGAAAAAAAAUUCCUGUAAGUGGCCAAAGUUUUGCUCUGACAAAAAUCUGAACAAAUCUUCUCAAGUAUAGCUAAUGUUCAAUACGGCAAGCUGCCCGUCAUUCGGACGUGGUCCAAGGUAUUACCCAGGCCAUAUUUAAGAACCGCUAGAUUAGCAGCCCUGAAACCAUUUCCAUAGAUUGGUGAUGUAUCUGAUUCAAUCUGAUGUUUGAAAAAUUCACCAAGUUUCCUCUCAAAUGGGGACCUCGUCCCUUGCUUUGAAGAUGCAGAAGCAGAAGACGAUGAGGUUGAGGCAACAUUAUUGAUCCUGGCUAUGUGAAUAAGCUGAGAUUCUAACCACAUGCGAGCUAGAACCUGACAGAUACCUUCUUCAAUGUCCUGACUGAGAGUUCGGUAACCUAUCAAACAAAGCUCAGACAUAUUAGUGUCCUCUUUACUUCAAAAAUCUGGCAUGUUUGUGGCAAUUGCCGGAAUUAAAGAGGUCUUAAUUCCAAAAUCUGGCAUUUGGGUGUCAUUGCCAGAUAUUAAGCAUCCCUACUCUCAAUCACCAUCUUUUAGUGCUUUGCUUCUAAAACAUUUGCAGAACACACCUCCAACAAAAUUGCACUUUUAAUAGAGACAAGUGCACAUGUACAACAUAUUUCUCUUUAAAAUAGCCAGAGACAAAACUUAUAACAUGUUUAAAGAUAAUCAUAAACAAAUUUGAACAAAUUUGAUUCGUUAUUCCUUUUCCAAGAAAUGUUAUAAUAGUCUCGUAAAAAAGACACACAGUCAUAGAUCCUGUGUUUCUUGUCAAACAAAACCACCUCAUAAAGGAAAUAGAAUUAAUCACUUAAAUUCAAAUGAACUACUAGUGCAUUUUUAUGUAGAAAUUAAAAAAAAAAAAUUCUCAAAGAAUAUUAGCAAUCCAAUGAAAUAGCACCAUCUAGUAGUAAAGCUAUUGGAAAAUGGAAAAACAAUGACCAUAACAACAAAGCAAUAUAUCACAAAUCCCCAAAAAGCUGAUAGUUGAUGAAAAAGUAUUUGUUCAAAUCAGGAAAACAUAAAAUCUGAAUGUCACAAAAUAAUUAGUCAAAAAGAAUCUACUUUCUCUUAUCUUCAAUUUCAAUUUUCUCUUGAUUCCUCAAAUAUAUUCAGAAACAUGAUCUGUGACAUAAAAAAAAAACUGGACAUGUUUAUGCUGAAUAGCCAAAAGUGAGACUACUAUCAGUUUAUUUAGCUAAAGCAGGAGAAGUUUGAAGUACCUCUUAGUCGCAACCAUGCAUGCAUCAUCUCAUGAGCUAGGAUUGAUCCGGUCAGCAACCUGCAGGCAGCAAAUUCUAUUUGUAUCAUACACUGAUAUUGAAACUAACAUCUGGCAGCACAUACAAUCAAAACAGUGAGCAACAUGGAAACAGUGUCUAUAGACUCAAAGAAUCACCUGUCUGUUUCCAAGAAGAACAGUAAUGGCCACAGGCAUAUUACUUACAUGACAAAGCCAAAGACUUCCUAAUUGUCGAUGUUAACUUUACAUAACGUACCUUGCCCAAAUGAACUAAAGUGUAAAAGUAAAUUUAUUUACACACUUCGAAGGACAUGAGGGAUGAUAUAUCCUUGACUCCAUAAUUAGUAGCAAUGAAGCAAUUAAGGCAUAUUCAAUUCCAUGGCCUUAUGCCAAAUUGCUCAAGACCUGAUUAUGAUGUGGCUAAGAACAUAAAAGCCUAAUACCAGUAAUCCACCCAACUAUAAGGGAAAAAAAAAAAUCUACCAUGCCUCUCACAUAAGUUCAAUUCCCCCUCGCAAAGUGCUUUCCACUCACUAUUGCAGCUUCCACAUGCAUAAUUAGAGUAAACAUGCUGACCAUGUUAAGGCCGUCAUAGUGCAACAUGUCAAUGCAAUUCGAAUGCACUUUAGAAGACUCUCAAGAUUACAAGAUCUAGGACGCAUGCACUAACGUAAUGCAAGGAAAAAGGAAAAUCUCUUUAUGUAGACGAGGGAUUGCAGCAAAUCUGUAAAGUUUAUGCUUCAGUCAUGUGGCACCUGAAAUUAGUUUUCUAUUGGCCUGUUGAACUUCUUUUCACUUGAUCUCUGCCCAAAUUGAACGUCUUAUAGUCUCAGUUGAGCAUUAAGAUUUAGAAGGAUAUUUUGUGAUUUUGGUCCCUUCAUUUUUGAACCAUUCCUAAACUCUCGAUGUCUCGCUUUUUAACAUAUUCAUCAUUUCUUACUUCCUGUGGGCGUUUGCCCAACCUCCAAGUUUGAAUUUCAACAAUUAGUACCUUCAAAAAUUUUAUCUCUGGUGCAAUUCAUAUGAAUGGAAGGGGCCAAUUAUGUCCAAAUUGAGAAUGGGUCCAAGAGAUAGCAAAAAUAGAGAAACUUAGAAUGUGUCUAAGCCAAUCAAGAGAAUAUCUAAUACUAAACUUCAUCCAUCUACGACACUUCCAGAAAUCAUGCUGUUUUCAUCUUUCUCAAGCAACUUAAUUUUAUGAGCAGCAUGGAAAAAAUUUUCUCAUACACCUUGUGUGACCUGCCAAACCCCAACCCAGUAUAAGAAAUGAAAGAAAUCUAAGAGGUGGAGAGUCUAACAUAAAACUUAUCCUCAAGUCUCACCAAAGAGGUGGAAUAUUACCUCGGAAGACCAUAUAAGAUGAGAAUUGCCGUUACUUCACAACGACGAAUCAGCUUAAAUGGCUCUGUUCUCAUGUCCAUUACUCGAUUUCCAUCUCCUAUCCUCGGUCGCCUCGAAAUCUUGUAAUUCCAGAGAGACAUUUAGCUAAUCAUUUACUUGGAUAACAAAAUGCAUGUGUGUAUCCAUAAUCCCGGAAAAAUAAAAAACAAAUUCUUACUGUGCUGACUGUUUGCUCCUCAGAAAGACAGAGCCCUCUUGUCUCAGGCAUGUGAUGAUGCCCCUGGUUUAAAUGAAAUAACUUAGAUAUAGUUAGUACUUAAUCUCUUAGAUAUAGUUCGUACUUAAUCUCUUCCAGCAUAUAUCACAAAGAAUCAAGACAAGCAAAAUAAAGGAAAGGAAUCUUCCUUAUUUCUUGGUUCAACCCCAAAAAAUAUUUCUUACAUAUUUCUCUCCAUCCCUGGCUUCAUUCAGUGCUUGUCUCUCAACUAAAAGUAAUGGUACUUGCUGCUCCACUUUCAUAUUUAAUCCCUCGUAAAACUCUUGUAUAUCAAGAUAAAGCUGUUGACACUUAUUGGUGUCCAUUAUUGCAGAGUCCAGGCACUCCAGGCAAAGCUUACGACCAUCAUCAAGGGCAACGUAUCUUGUAUCCCGGGGCUGCUUGCAGCAAUCAAGAGGUAUUUUACUCAUCAAUUAUGCACAUACAAGACUAGUUUGUUUACAUCUUUAUUGCAUACAGAGAGAGAGGAAACUGGAACAUUUUAGGAAAGGCUGUAUCAGACUAACCUCCAUUCGCUCACAGCUGCAACAGCGAGGAGUGCCAUCAUGCUCAUGAAAAGGGCAGUAUUUCUGGGACCAGAAAGGGUGUGCCCGAUAUUCAAUAAGGCCAGCUGCAUUUGUUGGAAUCUGAAGAUGCCCAAAAAAUAAAUAAAUAAAACUUAUUUUGAAGAAUAAUUAAAAUUUGAAGUAAAAAAUCAAAAGCAACUGCUCUACAGCAGCUUAAUAUUCUCAAACUUACAUUUCAAAUAAAAAGAAAAUUUUAAAAACUUAUCAAUUACUAACUACAAAAAAUCUGCACCAUUCCUAAGCGCUCCCUAACAUGUGAAUAAGUAUUUCUCUGCAAAAACAUAAUUCAAUUCUUAGAAAGCCAAGAAAAUUUUUCCACUUUGGCGAUCCACUUGCAAAGUGGCUUGGACAUAUUUUUGCUUCUUACUCUCAAAAACUAAAAGCAACAGCGCAGAGUACGUGCUGGAAAACAGUAGUUGGUAGAGUACAAUAUCAGUACUUGUGCAGCUGUAUGAGUUGAAUUAAGCAAGUCUUUACAAGAGCCCAAAGAAAAAAAUUUACAAGAGUCACUUGGCCGAACAUUUUUAUGAUAGAAGAAUUACUUACAAAGUGUUUGCAAACAUCACAUUUUGGGUGAUAAUGCUCCUUGUAGCAAGCUUUGUGAUAAGGGUAUCUGUCAUACGUUGAAAACUAGAUAGAAUAGAAGCAUACAUUAAAGGACCGUUAGAAAAAACUUUUCAGACACAGUAAGGAAAGUCAAGAAUGAAUAGCUAGGUUUCAUAACAUAAGAUACACAUAUUGCCCCAGAAGACAGAAUGCCAAAAAAUUGCCAAAGUUUACAAGAAAAACUUCAACAGAUCAUGCGCUGACAUUAUAUCUUAUUCAGCUGCUACCAAUGAAUAAUGGCCAUGAAUAAAAACGUUUAUAUGAUAAUUUAAGCAUUUUUCGCAAAUGAAAUACAGUAGAGACAUACAAGUCAAGAUUUUUGCAUUUCAAUCUGGGAAGUUAUUUUGAAAUAUUGACAAUCAAAAAAAGGAUACACUAGUGAUCUUUUUCCGCUUCUUUUCAAACAAAAUGUUUUCACAUUUAAAAUUGUCCCAUUGAAAAAAGAAAUGACAUGCACUACACGAACUAUCACAGAGGAUGAAAGAUACAAGAAACUCCCAAACAUCUUUCACAAAAUCAAGCAAAAAAUAUAUAAAAAAAAAACUCUAAUCUUUGCUUUCCUCAUUGGGGGAUUAAGUAAAGCAGAGUAAUGUAAGAUAAGAGUCAGCUAAAACCUUGCAGGCAUGGUACAACUUAUUUGGAAUAUUUUUUUUUACCUCAUAAUCAGCUAUUGGAUGGUUACAGGCAUGGCAACGGAAACAUUCUGGAUGCCACACUGCACCCAUGCAAUUCAAAAGUCGUCCAUGCCCAAUCUCAGUAUUACAGCCAGCGCAUAUCCUGCCACAACAGAAGUAGAUAAGAGAACCAACCACACUGCAAUGGUAGUAGCUCAAAAACAUGCAGAUUCCCAAAAGCUUAAUGGCACAAAAGUUUGACAGUUCAUAGGAGAACAAACAUGUUCUACCUUGUCAUAUGUAAAGGUGGUUCCCAAGAGGUUUGACCAAUCCUAUCUUUGCUUGUCAAAGAGAAGCAUAUCUUACACAGUUAUUUUUAACACUAAAAUUUUCCAAAAGCUUUUCCUCUUUCGCGAAAAGCUACAAGUUUACAUUCUAAGGAAGUGAAGGAUGACUUGUCAACCAAAAAAGACCUCAAAAAGAGUUGAAAGAACAGUACAUGGAACUGAAAACCAUAGACUUGGUUCAAGGAUAGGAGAAAAACAUGAAUUGUUUCUAAACUCUUAUCCAAUGAAUUUGAGACUGAAUGCCAACUAAAGAGAACAUGAAGCCAGUUGUACGUGUUAAUUAAGAAAACACAGACUGAGAACAACUAAACAGGGCAGAAAACUCAUCAGAUACUGUAUCUGGAACACAAACUUCCAUGUUUUAAGUGAUAGAAAAAACUGCCCACUGAAAGUAAGAGAGCUAAUUUAGCAAGCUCAAAAGUUUUCACAUACCUGAACCCUGUUGAGUAGUGGUAAGGAAUAGGUUGAUAAAAAUUUCCUGUCCCAUGUCCAUUUUCAAAUGGAACGCUACCUCUAUUUCCAUAUUGAGGUGGAGAUUCACAAGUCAAGCUCUCCUGAAGAGCUCUGGCAAGUUCUUCAUCUUCUUUCAGUUGAGCCUCACUAUCUAAUCAAAAUUGAGCAAUUUGUUAAGUUCGAAAAUUGUAUAUCGAAGAGUUUGUUUUAUUCUACCAUUUAAGGCUCUCACACAUACAUGAAUGUUUAUCUUACAGAGUGGCAAUAAUGCAAUUCUCCAUGACAUAACAGAGACCUAUUUAUCUCAAUUCAUCAUUCUAAAAGGUUAUCAGCAACCAAGAUGGUACUAUUUGAAAGGGAAAAACAAAGAAAAAUCAAGGUAAAGUUUGAAAAGUUAAAAAGAGGAAAGCUAAAAUAAGAAAAUCAAUCAACAUCAGACAGGAUAAAAUGGUAUAUUCCAAGUAGAAGACGAAUUACAUCGUUUGACAUUCACUGAUGACUUUGGUUAUAGCUUUGUACAAAUAAAUACCAGCAUACAGAUGUUAUAAACUAAUUAAACAUGUAGAACCAUCGACCAUGUGCGCUGGCAACUUAAUCUGCUGCACUAAAACUACUUUUAUUACCAUUGCUUAUAUGUGUUUUCAAGUAGUGCACAUUAGCUAAGAUCUUUGAAAUAAAGUAUGGCCCAAACAACAUUGACAAGAAAAUGAUAUGCAAGUUACUCACCAACCACAUGUUUCCCUUUCUCAUCCUCUUCUGCAAGGGAUAAUGCAAUAGCUCUGUCUAUAUCUUCUGCCUCGGACAAUGUAUCCUGCUGCAAGGCUUUCCAAACAAAUUAAGCUUUGAAUGAAGCAGAGGCAGUACUCAGGGAAGAACACGAUUAGUAGUAAGAAACUACAACCAAUAAUUUGAAAGCAAGCUAAUCUCUCCUCAACUAUAAAACCACUUCAGGGAACCACAAACCAAUCUUUGCAACAGAGAGAUUAAUUGACUAAAAUAAGCUCAACACCAUAUGGAAAGUCCCAGAGGAACUCCGGAGUCCACCAGAAUCCAGGGGUACAAAUGAAUCACAAGUAGUACAUACAUACUAGAGAAGUUCGUGUAACUUUUCUGACAGAAUGCCACACCAAACUCUUAGCAUAACUCAUAACAUACAUAGGCCAAGCUUCAGCCAACUUAUUUCAAAUAUUCAAGCAAGCAUUGAGCUAUAGACAACAAGAACUAUAUCAGAUUUCAGGGUGUAUAGAAAGUUUCACUGCUGUAGUGUAGGACAAGAGGAGCGAGAAACAUAUAGUAGCUGUUGUCUAAAACUCAUAAAUGUCAUAAGAAAAAGCAGAGACAGCAGCUUAGAAAAGACACUCACCAAUGAAGUGGAAGGAAAAUUUCCUGGAAAAUCUGCUCUGUAUCUGCUUCUGUAUCCACCAUCUGAAACAUUAUGAUUUGAUCCUUUAAAAAUUUUACUGAACCAACCCAUUAUGUGCUUAGAGGAAGUUCCCCCAGUGGUCUUCUCCUAAAAAAUUUAUGACAUCAUGGCAAAUGACACUUCUAUCUGCUAAGAAUUAGUGGCAGAAAAGCAAUGAGACACGGAUUUGUCCAUGAAAUGCAUUAAAAACUUAACAAAAUUACACACAAAUUCAUCACAAGAGUAAUUAUUAAUAAACAUGAUAGACAGGCUCCCUCUGGAAGUUUGAUCUAGGUAAUAUUACUGUGAAACUAUAAUGAGGCAAUCUGCAGGUUCUAAUCCACCAUCAGGAUGUUCUACUUUUCAGAAAAGACAGCUAAUUUCUAGCACCAAAGAAAACUUUUACUAGUUCUGUUGCUGAUAUAAAUAGCUCAAAUGUGUCAGGCACCCGCCUUUGAAUUUAAAUCACACAUCAAAUCUAAAAUUUAAGAUCUUGCAUGGCCUACAGAAAAAAAAUAAAAAGUACGACCAUCUCAACAGUAAUCAUUUAACCAACUGAAGAUCAUAGAUCAUACCCGCUUAGUAUGUUUAUAGGAAAAGCAAGCUAACGAAACACUGUAGUUACAUGGAUUUCCAGUUCCCAUCCAAAAGCUUCACCUUCUCCGUGAAAAGGUGCCGCAAAAUAGGUGCAAAUUUAUGAUUAGAGUAAUGCAGACUACCUUUAUCACAUUAAGUAACACUGCAUGAAAAUGCAUCGCAUAAAACUCAUUAUAAACAAGAUGCAAUGCAUCUAAACAACCCAUUAUUCUGCAAUUGGAUGCAUUACAAACUUGAAAAAAAAGGAGGCAAAAUAAGAACAAGAAACGAACCAGCAAAAAACACAGACAUGUCAUAACUCACAUAAUCAAACAAUGCACACUAACCAAAUUGCUCAGAGACUAAUGCAUAAGCUAAUGCCGAUUAUAUCACAGCUAAAUAUAUCAGAAAAAAGUUUUGAUCCUAUUUUGAUCACAAUCAGCUAAUAUCUGUUCAGAAACAACGACAGAAGACACAAAAAAUACAGAAAAUAUUGGAGAAGUAACUCACCUUAAGCAUACCAAUAAUCUGCAGAGGAACGAAUGGUGGAUGCAACAAGAGCCCAGAUCAGAUUUUUAAUCCAAGAAUUGCAUAUUCUCAAUGGGAAUCAGUUUCAACUUUCAUAUAGCUCAAAAACUGAAACUUUAGACGAAUAAUAAUACUCCUAUUUAUACCCUUUGAAAUCCCUUUAAUUAAUUGUGAGAAAAAUAAAAAUGGGAAACCUUUAUAAGAAUGGACUGUAUGGAGGAGGAGGAAAAUUGAGAAUGUGAAAGCUCAAAACUUUAAUCAUACGGAACAAUUCAAAGUCAAAGAAAAACAAACGUGUGGAAGUAAAUUUAUGUGUUGUAACGUCGCUUUUUGGCUAAACCCAAAAGGGUUUGACAAAGGAAUUAUCAAACCCAGUUGGGGAUUUCUGUUGAUCGGAAAUUGAGGAUCGGAAUGGGAUUUGAUUGUUGAACUUUGGAGAGGUCUUAUGUCGUCAUGGUGGGGUCUCUUAUGUUUCUUUUGACAAAAUUUGCCCCGCAGAAAAAGUGCUGGCAGAAUUGUGGGGAAAUAUACAUCAGAUGCACAAAAUUGGGCAACCGAUUAUAUAAUCGAAGGUCAAUUGACUUCUUGACAAAAGAUUAUAUAAUCGAAGGGAGGGACUUAAGUCCCUGCAGCCAAGUCCCUCACCUGCAGCGAAAAAAAUCUAAGAUUGUGUCAUAACACUCUCUUAAUCUAGUUAUGUCUAUAUAUUCACUAGCUUUUUAUCACAGCUCAUUAGGAUAGAGUAGGUUAUACCGUUGCUGAAAAAAAAAAGAUUAUAUAAUCGAAACUUGAAAAGACAACUUCUUUUUUGGGUGGAGGAAAAACCAUUUCCUUUUCUUUUUUAUUAAAAAAAACUUAAGUUACUAUAUUGAAACUUAAAAAACCGUUUAAGUUACCAUUCUAAAAUUGCUAGGCGCGUUUGAAUUACGAGUUUUCAAAGAAAAUUUUAUGAAAUAUUUUUCCAUCGCAUUUUUAAUUAUUUUUUAGCUCAUAUAUAUAUAUAUAUAUAUAUCAUAUUAUUAUAGUAUUUUUUUAAAAAAAUUACAAUCCAAAUGAACAAAAUUAUUCUUUUUGAUUAGAAAAAAGUUAAUGAUUGGCUUGUCAAUUUAACGAAGUGUCAUAUUAUGAAGUUUGAAAAAAAUUUAAAGGUAAGAAUCUAAGCUUAAAAAGAUUAACUCAUUCAUUGAUUCAACUAAAACUUAUUGGAGCUAUAUAAAAAGAAUUACUCUCACAAAAAAUUGUUGAAGUUAAUGCUUUCAUAUAAUUAUAACCAAGUCACAAACUCGAUUUUCAAGCAGAUUUAAUAUGAAGUAGAUUUAAUACUUCAUAUUACGAGAGUUUUUAGUGCGUCCGAGAGAUAAAUAUAAAAUAAAAGAGUGUGAAUUAUUGCAUCACAAAUAAGUAACAACACCAACAUGUCAUUUCUUUUCAUAGCAGAAUAUUACUACUAGAAACAAUCCUUUUAUUUUCCCACUGGUAACCCUUCCGGCGUAAAAAAGGGAAUUUUAUUUUUUCAUUUUGUACAGAAAUUGGAUUUGAAUCACAAAUUUUCUCCUUUUGCCCAGGCAAUUCUACAUGUACGACCAUCAGAAUUGGGCCUUGUAUGCUGCAACGUCCUGGCCUGACUGGACAAAUGGGUCGUGGCCCAGCGAAUCCUUCCUAAGGAAUUUUGUGACAAAACACAAGUGUUUUGUUGCAAGUAGGGGUGUUUCGCGAAUCGAGCCGCUCGCGAUUACGAGCUCGUCAAUAUCGAGCUCAAGUCGAACUCGACCUAAUUAAGUCGAUCUCGAACUCGAGCUCGAAUUCAAAAACAUUGAGCUCGUUGGCUCGCGAGCUCAAUUAUAUAUAUAUUUUUUAUUUUAAUAGUAAAAUUAUAUAUAUAUCCCUACUAUUUUAUUAUUUAUUAAAAAAAUUAUUAUUUUAUUCAUUUUUAAAAAUAAAUAAUUAUUUUUUAUUUUUUAAAAAUAAAAUAAUAAUAAUUAUUUUUUUAUUUUUUAAGCUCGAGCUCGAGCUUGAUAUUUUGAGCUCGUCGAGCUCGAGCUCGAGUUCGAACUUCACAAAAUUAACUCGAGUUCGGUUCGAUUAGCCAAAACUUGACUCUAAUUCGGCUCGUUUGCACCCCUAGUCGCAAGGAAAGUGGACGACAAGUGUGGGAAAAUAGGAUUCUUGUAAUUUUUUUUUUUAUCGCCAAAACUCAUCCUGCAAAAAUCGCAGGAAAGCAAAUGACGGGAAAAUCUUAACGGAUAAAGCCCACGAAAAAAUUUUCCAAUAUUUUAUAGGUAAAAUUGUUAAUUUUAAAAUCUCAACUCAAAUCUUUUUAUCUGUUUCAAUCAUCUGCAUAUAACACUAAUAAGAAGGCAUAGAAACAUCAUCAUCAUAUUAAAAUCUUUCAUCUUUUCUCCUUCCAGAAAAAUAUCUUCCUCUCUUCUCUUUAUGUACAUGUCCAUGAAAAUUUUUCAGUAAGUUACAUUACAAUUAAUAGUCUGAUUUUUUCCCUAUUUAAAUGACCUUAUAAACAAUUGUAGGAAUAAAUCUGUGGCAAUUAUACAGAGAAAUGCAACAAUUUGGGUGAGAAAGAGAUCAGUGCAUUUUUAUGUUUUCUUUAUUUUCAUUGUAUGAAGUUGAAUAAAACGCUUAUAUGUAAUAGUGUAAAAGUAGUUGAUGUUGUCGAUCGGUUUCUAUUUAUUUUUAUGAAAUCAAUAUUUACCUUUGAUUUAUAUAUACACAUAAGCUAACAAUUCUAACCAGUUAUCCUGUAACUUUUCUGUUAACCAAACAUAACAAUUUAAAUUUUCUUGCACUAUUUUCUUGUCAACCAAACACAUGUAAAAACCUUAGUUUCCUUUUUCUUUACCUCACUUUUCUCACAAUGCACUCCUAAAGUAAACUACCCUCAAACCAACGGACCCUAAAGUAAAAGAAAAUUGAUGGUUCUUGCCUUCUUGGCCUAUUGCUAUUGUUGCCUUCAGCCAUCAAACUGUGAAAAACUGCUAAAUCAAGGAAAAGAUUUGCAGAAUCGUUGAUGCUGAUAGCUCAUGCAUCAAGCGCAGGUUCUCGACAUAUUCAUUUAUUUAUUUCUUUUUCUUUUUUUGGGUAUCCGAUGGAUAUUAAUAAAUAAUACAACCUGUACCUGUACUGGUUAGAGCAAAGAACUCAAGGGAAAUUAUUAAUUAUGGGGAGAGGGAGAAGUACAGCCAAUAUAUAUUGGAGAAGAGAAGUAUCUUUCCACUUCAGAUUUGUACCUAUACAGCUUGUAGUUUUCAUCAGGAAAGCGACGUACUGAAACUUCACAAAAACAAAGAGUAAAUGAGGUAAUGGUGCAAGUUGGGCGUUAAGCUCAAUUAAAACCAAACUUUUCCGAUUUGUCUAUGUCGCACCAAUUAUCUCUAUCAUCUCUUCCUGGAUGAAGAGGAAAAAAAGCAACCUGGGAUUUAUGACAUUAAAGCUAAGUUUGCAACAAAUAAUAUGCGAUUCAAUUUCUUGGUUUGGAGUCGUCCAGCCUCGGGAAGAAUUUGAGCUAGCUAUGAAUAUAUUUUUCACCUGAACUCUUUCUACUAGAAAGAUUACGUGUUCCGUGAAGUUUUAAACUUGCAUGAUCACAUACAAUAUGGGGGGAAAUAUGCUAUCAAGCAUGGAUAAAUGGAAAUGAUACUUAGAAAGUGUUUGGUGAGUGAGUUUUAAGGGACAGGAAUGAGUUUUAAUUUCAAUCAUAUAUACCCAUACCCAAUGUUUGUUUAAAGGUCAAUCUGAAUCAGUUAAUGGGUUUCAUAUGCCGUUUCUAUUGGUUUUUAUAAUUAACAAGUAAACAGCAGAGCUUCACUUAUUCAUUUUACUAUAAAGUUACCAAAUAUUCUAUAUGUUUCUAUCAAACCUAUUUCUCUAUUCUCCAAUUUAUCAUAUAUACAUACUCAUAGCGACGGUGAUCGUGAAGUUUGAAGCAAACGGCUCCUAAAAAGGAAGAAACAAAAAAUAGAAUAGAUAAUGGUGUGGAAAUCCUUAACUACAAGCUUUGCAUUUCAUUUCUUUCUCCCGUUUGGCUAUAGAAAAAAAAAAAAAAAAAAAAAGCGAUUGGCAUCUGAUGGUUAUAGGCAAGGUUGUAGGUCCAAGCAUUAAGGAAGGUAGGCAGUUCAAGUUCAAUAGACAAGUGACAAUUCUGGGUGGAAUAGUAGCGGUAUCCCCAUGCAACUGAGUGCAACACCUUGGCAUUACCUCUAUAAGGAGUCCAAAAAUGAAUGGCUGUUGUAUGUGUUGACACCAACGGCUGUUUACAUCUAUUUAAAUGAACCAAGUUUCUGAGUAUGUUUCACCUGUGCAAUUCAACGUUUGAAUUGGAAACUCUAAAUAUACUCUAAAUGCAUAGAUGCUUCUAAAUUUUUUAAUACAAAAGUCUAUAGAUGCUUCUAAUUUCUAAAUUUCAAAGUUUCUGAGUAUGUUUCACCUGUGCAAUUCAACGUUUGAAUUGGAAACUCUAAAUAUACUCUAAAUGCAUAGAUGCUUCUAAAUUUUUUAAUACAAAAGUCUAUACAGUGAGCCUUUCAUGCAUAAUCAAAGCAAAUAAGUUUUCCGAAAAUUGGUAUUCCACAUUAUAUUGUACACUUGUUAACAUUAUAAAUUUAACAGACAUCCUUUUAAGUCUUUUAGGCAUAUCAAAGUAGAUUAUGUCUUAAAAAAAAAAAAAGAGUAGAUUAUGUCUACCCAAGUAUUAUGCCGAACGCUAUUUAUCAUAGUUAUAAAAUUCGGCUCGGCCCGACGAUUGAACCGGUCGGCCCAGUGAUCCAGUCCCUCUGCCGGAUUUCUUACAUCUGCAUAUAACACUAAUAAGAAGGCAUAGAAACAUCAUCAUCAUAUUAAAAUCUUUCAUCUUUUCUCCUUCCAGAAAAAUAUCUUCCUCUCUUCUCUUUAUGUACAUGUCCAUGAAAAUUUUUCAGUAAGUUACAUUACAAUUAAUAGUCUGAUUUUUUCCCUAUUUAAAUGACCUUAUAAACAAUUGUAGGAAUAAAUCUGUGGCAAUUAUACAGAGAAAUGCAACAAUUUGGGUGAGAAAGAGAUCAGUGCAUUUUUAUGUUUUCUUUAUUUUCAUUGUAUGAAGUUGAAUAAAACGCUUAUAUGUAAUAGUGUAAAAGUAGUUGAUGUUGUCGAUCGGUUUCUAUUUAUUUUUAUGAAAUCAAUAUUUACCUUUGAUUUAUAUAUACACAUAAGCUAACAAUUCUAACCAGUUAUCCUGUAACUUUUCUGUUAACCAAACAUAACAAUUUAAAUUUUCUUGCACUAUUUUCUUGUCAACCAAACACAUGUAAAAACCUUAGUUUCCUUUUUCUUUACCUCACUUUUCUCACAAUGCACUCCUAAAGUAAACUACCCUCAAACCAACGGACCCUAAAGUAAAAGAAAAUUGAUGGUUCUUGCCUUCUUGGCCUAUUGCUAUUGUUGCCUUCAGCCAUCAAACUGUGAAAAACUGCUAAAUCAAGGAAAAGAUUUGCAGAAUCGUUGAUGCUGAUAGCUCAUGCAUCAAGCGCAGGUUCUCGACAUAUUCAUUUAUUUAUUUCUUUUUCUUUUUUUGGGUAUCCGAUGGAUAUUAAUAAAUAAUACAACCUGUACCUGUACUGGUUAGAGCAAAGAACUCAAGGGAAAUUAUUAAUUAUGGGGAGAGGGAGAAGUACAGCCAAUAUAUAUUGGAGAAGAGAAGUAUCUUUCCACUUCAGAUUUGUACCUAUACAGCUUGUAGUUUUCAUCAGGAAAGCGACGUACUGAAACUUCACAAAAACAAAGAGUAAAUGAGGUAAUGGUGCAAGUUGGGCGUUAAGCUCAAUUAAAACCAAACUUUUCCGAUUUGUCUAUGUCGCACCAAUUAUCUCUAUCAUCUCUUCCUGGAUGAAGAGGAAAAAAAGCAACCUGGGAUUUAUGACAUUAAAGCUAAGUUUGCAACAAAUAAUAUGCGAUUCAAUUUCUUGGUUUGGAGUCGUCCAGCCUCGGGAAGAAUUUGAGCUAGCUAUGAAUAUAUUUUUCACCUGAACUCUUUCUACUAGAAAGAUUACGUGUUCCGUGAAGUUUUAAACUUGCAUGAUCACAUACAAUAUGGGGGGAAAUAUGCUAUCAAGCAUGGAUAAAUGGAAAUGAUACUUAGAAAGUGUUUGGUGAGUGAGUUUUAAGGGACAGGAAUGAGUUUUAAUUUCAAUCAUAUAUACCCAUACCCAAUGUUUGUUUAAAGGUCAAUCUGAAUCAGUUAAUGGGUUUCAUAUGCCGUUUCUAUUGGUUUUUAUAAUUAACAAGUAAACAGCAGAGCUUCACUUAUUCAUUUUACUAUAAAGUUACCAAAUAUUCUAUAUGUUUCUAUCAAACCUAUUUCUCUAUUCUCCAAUUUAUCAUAUAUACAUACUCAUAGCGACGGUGAUCGUGAAGUUUGAAGCAAACGGCUCCUAAAAAGGAAGAAACAAAAAAUAGAAUAGAUAAUGGUGUGGAAAUCCUUAACUACAAGCUUUGCAUUUCAUUUCUUUCUCCCGUUUGGCUAUAGAAAAAAAAAAAAAAAAAAAAAAAAGCGAUUGGCAUCUGAUGGUUAUAGGCAAGGUUGUAGGUCCAAGCAUUAAGGAAGGUAGGCAGUUCAAGUUCAAUAGACAAGUGACAAUUCUGGGUGGAAUAGUAGCGGUAUCCCCAUGCAACUGAGUGCAACACCUUGGCAUUACCUCUAUAAGGAGUCCAAAAAUGAAUGGCUGUUGUAUGUGUUGACACCAACGGCUGUUUACAUCUAUUUAAAUGAACCAAGUUUCUGAGUAUGUUUCACCUGUGCAAUUCAACGUUUGAAUUGGAAACUCUAAAUAUACUCUAAAUGCAUAGAUGCUUCUAAAUUUUUUAAUACAAAAGUCUAUAGAUGCUUCUAAUUUCUAAAUUUCAAAGUUUCUGAGUAUGUUUCACCUGUGCAAUUCAACGUUUGAAUUGGAAACUCUAAAUAUACUCUAAAUGCAUAGAUGCUUCUAAAUUUUUUAAUACAAAAGUCUAUACAGUGAGCCUUUCAUGCAUAAUCAAAGCAAAUAAGUUUUCCGAAAAUUGGUAUUCCACAUUAUAUUGUACACUUGUUAACAUUAUAAAUUUAACAGACAUCCUUUUAAGUCUUUUAGGCAUAUCAAAGUAGAUUAUGUCUUAAAAAAAAAAAAAGAGUAGAUUAUGUCUACCCAAGUAUUAUGCCGAACGCUAUUUAUCAUAGUUAUAAAAUUCGGCUCGGCCCGACGAUUGAACCGGUCGGCCCAGUGAUCCAGUCCCUCUGCCGGAUUUCUUAUCGGACCGAGUUUAAUAACUAUGCUAUUUCGCCGAACGCCGGAAAAAAAAAGAGUAGAUUAUGUCUACCCAAGUAUUACGCCGAGCGCUAUUUAUCAUAAUUAUAAAAUUCUGCCCGACCUGGCGAUUGAACCGAUCGGCCUAGUGACCCAGCCCCUCUGCCGGGUUCCUUACCAGACCGAGUUUAAUAACUAUGCUAUAUUACUGUGGAAAAUGUAAAUAGGUUUUUUUUUCUUUUGGGGUUUUGAGUAAAAUGUAAGGUAGAAUAUCAAAUUUCAAUUUCAUCAAGGUGAAUAAUGAUAUGUAUGCUCCAAAAGAAUCUUCUCACACUCUACAUUUCUUCACGUACUAAAUUGUUGAAAUGAUGUGCUAGGAGCUAUUUUUGAAGUUUAAGCUCAAAUAUCACUUACCUUUCACCAAUCCAACUUUCAUCAAUGAUUGUUUCUAAAUCAUCAUCUAGUUUUCAUUUCUUAAACUGAGUUAGCCAUGCCCAUGUUUUUACUAAUCAUACAGGGACAUGGCGGAAUAGAAGUAAGCUAGGUACGUCUGCGAUUUAACUCUAAACUCUUUACAGAGCAAGAGUAAUCGAGUUGGUUAUAAUAAGCAUCACUUUCACCAUGCACUACAGAACAUCGAUGGAGUACUCCGUAUAAAGUUUAGGGUAAAAAAGAGGUAAUUGCAUCAGAUUAAACUAAUGGGAACAAGACUAAUUUUAUCGAUCACUAGCGCCUUUUAUGGAGAAGUAGCAUACACAUUAUAAAAUUUUUCCGACCAUUUCAUCACCUAGGCCAGGAGAUAAUGGUGGUUGUCGCCAUCUAUGCACAUCUUUUUGGUAGUCCCCCACACUCACUCACAAACUCAUAAUUUAACAGGGAAGGCCGUUGUAUCUUCUCCUCUGAUGAGUCACAAAGGGCACCUCAUAACACCUCCGACAAGAGAAGAGUGGUCCCUUUCGACUAAAGUUACCACACAAGCCGUUAGCUAUAGAUCCACAACUUGUUUCAGAAUGAGUCUCCUUUUUGCUUACCAGCUUUAAGCAAUCAUACUCUCUAAUUAAUAAACAACUUCCAUCAUUUUGUUGUGAUUACUUUCCGUUUCAUGCCCAUGUAAAAUGUUACAUUAACUGCAGGAGUCAUUGUCUCUGAUGUUUGAUCCCUCCCACCUCCAAAACCCUCGUCUCUGGCUACCAUUACGUAAGUGAGAAUAUAUAUAUAUAUAUAAGGGUACAUGAUAAAAGGCGAGGUCAGUGGUAUUUUACCUGCAAAAGUUUCAUUCUCAAGCAAAAUUGUACGCAAAAUAAGGGUGAGAAAGUUAUUUAUAACCAUGCCAAAUUAAUUGCUAAUGACUGAAAAAAGGCACAAAACUAGCAUAAUCUUCUCUGUUAAUUCAUACGCAUUGUUGUAACACUUGACCACAUAUUUGUAAUCUUAAGCAAUUUUGUAACUUAAACCUAAGUGUCUAGUUUGAUGGCUCAGUAGUUUUUUUUUGGCUUUCAAUGUUAAAAUUGGUUCAGUGCGCAAGUGUUUUGACUCGUAGAUAGUGUCUAGACUAUGCUGCAAAUAAUAGUACUAGUCUACGAACUUUUUGGCAUAGUUCAAAUACGCAGACGCCUUUGUAACUAUUUCAAAAAGUAAACAUAUAUAUAUAACCAAACAACCGUUAAUAUAUAAAUGGUGCAUUUACCAUCACAACCUCUUACAAAGACAUGCAACUUAAUUAUUGUCAAGAUAAUGCUUUCUUCCUUAGUCCCGGAAAAGUUAUACAGAGUAUGAAUCUCUAUAUAUCUAUAGCCUUCUAUCUUUUUUAUCAGCUGUUUGCUUUAGUAAAAUAAGAUAGAAGUGUUUAGGCUUGAAUUUUAACUUUAGAGUAUAGUUAAGAAAUCAUACUGAUCUGUUGACAAAGCUUGGAAUACCGAUUAUGAAUUUUCAGUUUUUUGAGUCUUGAUAUGAGCUUUUCCAAAAAAAUUCAACAACCAUUCAGGUGACUAUACUAUACAGGGACUCCGAUUUCGGAUACUUGUUGCAACUUUCCUUCUUCUUUUAUCAGAAAUUCAAUAUUGGAGUGGUUGGAGGUUUUAAUGGAACCCUCAUAUUUUAUUAACUGAAACGAUGAUGCUGGAAAUUAAAUCAAGGACAUACAAACCACAACUACAGUGAAAAUUAAGAACAAAACUCUAAGAUGAUUAAGAGUAGAUCAACCUAUCUAGCCUAGCUAAUAAGAUGUCAAAUAUGCGAUGAAGUGGUCCCUGAAUGCAGGGGGGGAAAAAGAAUUGGAAAUCAUGUCCUUCAUUUUCUAUACCAAAUAGCCAAGAAGCUAUAUUAGUUUCCAACUGUGAAGAAGAAUUUCCAAGUAUAAGCAUUAAUCCUAGCUAAAAGUCAUUGGCUGCAGCAAGCCCUGAGAUUAUAAUUAGGUAUCUUGCAGUAUUGAAAUAUAAAAUUUAUGAUCAGAUCUGGAAAGUUAAAAUGAUCAUAGAAGUGUUGCUUUGUAAAAUAUGAAAUGCUUUUCCUAGAUUCAUUCGACAAAUGGUGAAGUUUAAACAAUGAAAGGUAAAAAACUAUACUUACAUGAGAAGAGGUUAAAAACGAAGAAAAACAAAUGGCUUAUUACAUUUUCACUCCCCCAAUUAUACAGGAUGAACUGAUUUGUCUCUCUAUCUUUGUGAAAAAUACAUUUUUGGCAAUAUUUUAAGUGGUCCUCAUUUGAGCUCAUUCUAUUAAAUGAUUUUGGUCGUUUGUUGAAAAAAAAAAUUAAAUGAUUUUGGCUUCCUAAAAUUACAUGUUGACUCUUUUUAGAACUUCUUGGUUGUUGUCUUAUAGAAAUUUCUAUGGGAAAGAGAAACUCUGAAAUUACUAAUAUUUUCUGAAAUUUCAGAUACCAAAUUAGCACUUAACAAACCACUCAAACCUCUGAGACCAAAAAAAAAAAAAAAAAGGAAGAGAGGGGGGGAGGAGAAAAAUUGGGCAGCUGUACGUAAUGAUCUAGUACAUUUCUCCUUAAACUGGAUAUGACAUUUCCUUUUCUCAGCGACGUAGACAUUUGUCCCUAAUUUGAAGUGCUACGUUUGCAGAUCAUAGGCAUAUUUCUGUAGAGAGCAAAUCUAGUGUUUUCAUGAUGAAUGCAUAAAUCCGACUGUGACUUUGAAAGAUAAAACUUAGAUUGAAUUGAUUUACGGCUAUACCUGAUAUGAUCUCUUAUUUCUUGUUUAAUUUGGUACGAUAACUCAGCUUGUUGUCAGUGGCCAUAUAUCCACAGAGUUACACAUCACAUAGUUCCAAGUCAACAAGGUAAACGUUUUUUUUUAAAUUAAAAAAAAAAAAACUAACUAAAUCAGAAAUGCAUUAAAACAUGUACGUGAUAUCAUUCAGGAGGUUUCAUUUGGCUACAAAAGUCAUUAGCUAAAGCAGCCAAAACACAAAUGGGAGGAGGGGAAUUAAAAUAGGCACAUCUCCAGCAAUUGGAGAGUGUAUUAACAACAAAGUUACGCUCUUUAAUUAUGCCAGAAUUAUUCCAAUUGGUGAUCCAUUACCAAGUUGUUUUUCUUACACCAUCUCUGCCGGAGGUCUCCAAUCAUAAUCCACCAAACUUAAGCGGGGCUUGAUUUACUAAACAUGAAACUUUUUGGGUAAAAAUGUCACAAGAGCCAGACUUCAUGGGUACAAGUUUUUUUUUUUUUCAAACAGUAACUUUCUUAAAAAAGAAACAUUACUAAAAGAAGGUUGUAUACCUACCUAAAGAUGGUUACAAUUAAUGUUAUUUUCAAAAUAAUAGUAACAAUGCCAAUGAUGACGAUGAUGAUACAACUUGUUCAUGCAAACAUAUGGCACAAUUAAGUCAUAAUAAAAGUACAACUUGGUCAUAUAAACAUUUGGGACGGUUAUUCAAAUUGCUAUUGAAUACAUUUUGUAUCAAUAUAUAGGCGGCUACAUAUAAGAGUGCAUGAGUAUAAUAGGUAUGCGGAACAGUGCACCUACGAGACCCUUUUGGGAAUUUACCCUAGUGAAUGACUUGCACUAGUACAUAUAAUUUACUUGCACACUUUAGUUUUUGACGCAAUAUUAUAGGUCACAAAAUAUAUGCAAAUGAUAAGUUCGUAUUUACGUCCAUACAGAGAAAGUUUGGUGAAAGUGAAGGGUGAGAGUGCUGAAGAAGAAGAAGAGAAGGCAACCCUUUUCUCCUCUCCUUUCAUUAUCCCAUCUCCCUGGCUUUGCUUGUUUCUUGUCUGAUUAGCAAAUCAUUCCCUAGCUUCCAUGAAUGAGCUUCCAAACACCUAAAACAAGCAGAUCAACAAUUCAGCACCCACGGCGAGCUCCACCGAUUUAUCACUGAUCAUCACAAAGAUGGUGAUGUUUCUGGUUCGCUACUGCCGCCUAUAGUCCCAAACCCCAAAUCCAACCUUGUACUACCGUCUUAUUACAGGUAACUUACCGACAUAAGUAGAAAUGACUAAGAGAAAUCAAGAAACUUUACCAUUCAUUCUGGCAUCAUUGGCCUUUUACCUUCUGUUUCCAAAAUCAGUUCCCAUCGAUCUUUAACUUGAUUUUCAUGUGCAUCAUCCGUUAUUCUUCAGAAUAUGCUAUAGUCUAUCAGUUUCAUAUUAUUACACACAGUAGUUUAUUCCAGCACAAAGAUUACUGUUACUUCUUGAAUUUAACAUUAAGCAAGAUGUUGAUGUAUUAAAUAGGAAGUGGGAUGCUGCCAAAAUCUUGUUUUACACCUCCCUUUGACAAUUGACAGGGUAAGGGCUUACACAAGCUGCCUAGCUAGAAUAGGGGUAAUUGAAUUCGUCAAAUCCCAACUAUCAAGUUUGAGCAUCUUCACACGCCCAUGUCCCAAAGCUUCCAUCAAGGAAUCUACAGCUUCUCAAAUGGAUAUGAAAGAUCUCCGACCACGACGAAGCAAGGGAUGGAGUGGAUCAGCCAAAGAGUGCAAAACUUUGAGCUGCAGCAGCAGCAGCAAGUGCAAACUGAGGUUAAUUCUGGAGAGCCACCGGUUUAUGAUGAUACCGGAGGUGGGAUGUUGACAGAGAUGAUAGAUUUCUCUCGGGGACGCGGUAAAUCAGCUAAUCAUUUACUGCUAGAUGGUCAGAUCCCCUCCAGUUAUAGAUGGUCUCAAAAACAGCAACUACCACUGACGGUGGUAAACGAAGCUGAGGUGAGUAAAAACUAGUACUACUUUUUUUUAAUGAUGUAAGAAAAGCAAUACGACUAAUUAUACUAAUGAUUCUUGAACAGUGUUACAGUGCUUUUCUUAUUUUUACCAAUUUUCAUGCAGCUUCUGCUCAUGAACCCGCUUCAUGUUAAAGCAUCUUCUUCUUCUCCAACUAGUACAUCUUCGCUCCACAUGUCGGUUCCAAACUCCUCCGACUCUCAUCAUCCUAGCCUUCAUCUUCAAGAGUAUCAUUUGGAAAAUCCUUCUCAAUUUUCUUGGGUUCGCGUUAACGGUAACGAAGUUGAUGAUGAUAAUACCAAAAUCGGAAGGGCCAUGGAGGCUCAAGGGCUUUCAUUGUCAUUAUCUUCUUCGAUGCCAAACUUGGAAGCAGCCAAAUUCCAAGAACUGAGACCAGGAGAUGGUGGGGUGUACUUCUUUGAUCAAGGAGUAGGGCCCCCAAUGAAUUUCAGUGGAUUCAAGAAUCAAGAACCUAAUCCAAAUAUACUAGGUAAUAUUGUUACGGAUUAUUCUAGUCAAGUUCACGUUGGACUUCCAGCUUCUUCAAGAAUCGGGAAUGUCUUGAGGAAUCCCAGGUACUUGAGGGCUGCCCAGGAAUUGCUGGAAGAAUUCUGCUGUGUUGGGAAGGGAAAUUUGAAGAGCCCGAAAAGUGAAAACCCUAGGACCAUUUCUAUUGUUGAGAAUGCUAGUGGAGGGGCAGUUUCAUCAGCUAGCUCCAAGGACCGCCCGCCUUUAUCAGCUGCUGAAAAGACGGAGUACCAAAGGAAGAAGGUCAAGCUCUUGUCCAUGCUUGAUGAGGCAUGUAUCCAAUUCUCUCUCUUUCUCCUCUUUUUACAACAUGGUAGCAUUGAGGAAUUUUUGGUAGGAAUAGUUAAUUUCCUGAACUUUUUGACCACUUCUCUCCUGGCAUGCAAUAAGAAAUCCGGCCGACAGACUCAGGUUGAGAUUGAGAUUCUUCUUUGAACUAAACUAAGUGUUUGCUUUACCAAGCCAGCUGGAGAUUAAAAUUUACUAGUAUAGCACAAUCCAAGUGUUAUCAUUUCUGUAUAUUCUUUCACUUGAACGUCUGACAGGAUACCAUCUUGGGGUACAUGUCGAGGAAGGAGCGACAUGCCUCCAUUAUAGGUUCAAUCUUGGAUCUAUCAUGAAGGCUAAGCAAAAGAUUCAUCCGUACUAACAAAUAUGUUUUGCUCAAAGAGCUUGGAUUUCAAACAUUUUGGGACCAUGUCUUUUUCAUGUUACUGUAUGAUUUUAAACAUUUCUUUAAUAUAAUUGAGUUGUACCAUUGACACAAGGCAUCUUAAUUAUCAGAAGCUUCGAUUAAAAAAUUCCCAAGAAGGUCAGAAUAAAGCCUAAUGUUACGCUGAAACUUUCAAAGAAAUGGACCUUCCAACUCCUCCAAUAAUCUUCCCAGCCAUACAAAAUGCUUACCCAUGAUGAUAUGAAUUUUGAAUUGGUUAAUGAAUGAUUAAGUCCUCUACUGAAGUUUGCAUUAGGAUAUUGAUAUCCUUAAUUAUUAAGUACUCUACUGAAGCUUGCAUUAGGAAAUUGAUAUCCUAAUUAAUAAGUGCAGUUGAUACUCCACUUUCUUCCGGGAGCAAAAGAAAGUGUUUUUGUUGCUAACAAAGGCUCGUAAUUGAAGCCUAAGUGUCUGUUAAUGACUUGGCGUUACAUGUAAAGCUUCGCGUGCCAUACAAUUAUUUAGUGCCAUUUUUUCUUUUUUUAACUUUAAUAUUCAGUCAAGUUUCAAUUGUUGAUGACCAUGUUACAAAAUGUAUCCGUUUGCUUAUUAAUCAGGUGGAUGCAAGGUACACACAUUAUUGUGAACAAAUGCAAGCUAUUGUCCACUCAUUUGACUCGGUGAUUGGAUAUGGGGCGGCAGCUCCAUACACAAACCUUGCUCAGAAGGCAAUGUCAAGGCAUUUCCGGAGCAUAAAGGAUGCAAUAUUGGGUCAGGUGAAGGUUACAUGCGAACUUCUUGGAGACAAAGAUGUGAAUGGUACAAUAGGCUUGACCAAAGGAGAGACCCCAAGACUUCGGUGGCUUGAGCAAAAGUUUAGGCAGCAGAAAGCCCUUCAUCAAUUAGGAAUGCUUGAUCCCGAGACUUGGAGGCCCCAGAGAGGCUUGCCUGAACGAUCUGUUAACAUACUGAGGGCCUGGCUUUUUGAGCAUUUUCUUCACCCGUACAUCUCUCUCUCUCUCUCAGUUUUAACAGCCUUUACUUUUACCCUUUCAUUUUGUUGAUUUUUGGUUGAAAGUUUUAGUCAUAAAGAUCACGACAUCCUUUUGUUUUGCUUUCGUGCAAUGAGGAAAGGAAAGAUUGUCUGGUCUUAGAAAGUCUUUUGUUAAUGGAAUCUUGUUUGUAUUUGAUAAUUUAAGGAGUCACGAAAUCCAGUGCAAGAAUUGUUGGGUUGUGAUGAUUGUUGUGGGAUUUUGAAUGAUAAGUCCUGAAUUGGGUUCUGAUGUUGUCUCUCUGCAGGUACCCGAGUGAUGCAGACAAACAUUUGUUAUCUCGACAGACUGGUUUAUCGAAAAAUCAGGUACUCACUCGCACCUUUCUAGACCACGAAAACUGAUGUGUCAUAAUAUGCCUUAGAAGUUAAAAAUCCAUCUUCAUCUUCAAUGGCCACAUCAUAUUUUAGGAGCAUCAACUUUGCUUGAAACAUGAAGGGUUAGCAGUACUUUAUAUGCUGUCCCAAAUUUGGUGAAGAGACCGAAACUGAAGAAAGUUGAGACAUUUACGAGACAAUUACAUCGCUCUCGUACUAAAACAAAAUCUAAAAGUUUACAAUUAUAUCAAACGUUUUCUGCCCAUCGUGAGUUCUCAGAUGAAUAUAUGAUGAACAACUUUUUUUUUUAAAAAAAAAAAAAAUUUUAGUAACAAGAGAUUCUCUACAACUAGCUAGACAAUAGGAACCAUAGAUAGAAAGAACUAUGAGUUUUAGUCUUACAACGACCAUGCUUCUUUUUCUUCGUCUAAAAAUGUUGUGGCUCAAUUUAUUUCCAUAAUAAUUAGCAAGAAAGAUUUUAAGAAUUUUUUACAUUACUUGUAUAAGUGCACUACUUCAAUAGAAUAUCUGCGCCCGGGCAGCGUGCAGAACAUGUUGUCCUAGGUGUAUAUUUUGCCUAAGAUUCCACGAAAAGAAAUUAACAAUAUGCAUUAGUUUACAAGAUUCAUGCAGAUUAAAAUAGACAAGUAUAUGGAUAUAAAAAUUGCAGACAAAUUCAAUUUAUGCAUACAACUGCAGAUAUUCACGAUGCAUAUAUGCGUACAUAUGUGUGUAAAGACUAUAGGUAUAUGCACCAACACCAAUGUUGCAUAUAUGGUCAUACGAUAAAAAGGAAAAUGAAAAGAUAUUGGAUUGUGCUAAAGUUGUUCUAAACUACAUCCAUACGUAUAUCGUCUCUACUUAUAGUUUUAAGAGACUUAAUUUUUCAAAAAAAAAAAAAAAAAAAAAAAGCAAAUAGAUCAACUAUUUAGAUAUUCGUGUUGCAAAUUUGAUUCUAUGUUCAUCCCAGACAAUUGUCGUGUCUAAAUUCACCUUUGGUUCACUACGGUUUGGUAAAUUACUAUCAUAUUUCUCAAGUGUCUGAUGAUGCACUAAACGGCUAUCAUUCCAAAUCAUGCCUGCCAGAAAUAGACAUCUCCAUCACCUAUAUGAUUAAUUAUUGGGAUACUUUUAAAAACCUCUUCCAAGGUUUCUAAUACUUUCAUUGUGCUCCAUCGAAAUUUAGAAAUUACACCUACCUCAAAAGUCCAACUAAAAUGAUAAUAUUAACCUUACUAUUUUAAUAACACUCUCUUGUUGGGUAUGUAUAUAGAAAGAAUGGGAUUUAUAAUUAUAUUUUUUUUCCUUUUCUCUUCUUAUUUGUCUUUUUUUUAUAUAUAUUUUGCGAGUAAAACUAUAGAACUCUAAACUAUAAGUACGGACUAUAAUUGCUAUCAUUAUCAAAUGUUGAAGUAGUGAUCGAUCUUUUUUUUUUUUUUGUGACAACUUUGAAUAUGAUCCAAUGUUUUUUUUAUUGAUUUUUUCUCUUUGUAUCAAAAGCAACAAUGACUUAGAAAGAAACUAUUUAAAACUACUACUAAGCUAUGAUAGUUCCAACAAAUCAAAAAUCCGCAAACUCUAAAAGAAUUAUGGUAAUACUUUCUUGUCCAACUUAGAAGGAAUGUGUAUCAAGAUUAAAAUACCAUGUACAGUAACUUAUCAUAGUGAUAAAACUAUUGUAAUAAUUGCUUAUUCAAUAAUAAAUAUAGGUAUUGAAAACUUGACGCUUUUCUUUAUAUUUUUACUAUAUAUUUUUACAAUUGUUUAGGAAAGUAAUGUAAACUGAGGGCAUUUUAGGGUGUUCAUUUAAAAUUUUGACCAAAUCUAUGAUUUUGUUCCCACAAGUGUAAUUUUUAAAUUUUCAAGGGAUCUCAAUGAAAUUAUCACAAAACUUAGUGAGGUUUAUGAAAUUAUCCCUUAAUUAUUAGAUUCAAUAUUUGCCAGAAUUCAACAUGAAUAUUUAUAUGGGAGAUUCCAAGAUGUUUUUGGAAAUUCAUAUGUGCAUGAACAUUUUAAUACAGAAAACUUUUUAUUAGGUGAAACUUUAUUUUAUUGAUCAACAGCAAGAAAAGUGAUUAUAGAAAGAAAAAUACACAGGGCCCCAAAUUCAACUCACAAAAUUAUUACAACAAAACUAGGGAAGACCUAUAUUUAUAUGGCAAACAUAAGAAUAGUUUUUCAUUUUUUUCAACCAUACCUUAUCAAUUCUAGCAAAGAAAGGAUGGAAAUGUUAUGUUCAAUUGUUUGGCCCAACAUAAGAGAAGUUAAACCUGUCAGAAGUAAUUAAAUCUGUAAAAGUAAGCGUUCUUGAAAUAACUGUGAGUCUAAGAUUUCGUAGGAUGCAAACUUGGAAAUUGCUUCAAGUCUUACAUGAAAUACUUGAACAUUGGUUCCUGCGGGAAUAAAGAUAUUGAUGCCUACCGGCAAAAGAAAAUGAAUGCAUAUAUGCAUUUUGUACAGUAAUUUUGGAUUUAUUAAUAGAUUAGUAGUAUUUAGUUCUGAUCGAUCAAAAACAGAUCUCCAUCUCCACUUUUACCCCAAAAUUGACAAAAUAAAACAAAUUACAUAUGCUAAUCAGUAGAGGUUGUCAACAUGUAUCCAAUCAUAGCACUGGCGUCAGUCUUUUACAAUGAAAUAAAAAUUCGCCAAAAAAAUUGAGUAAGUACAACAAUAUGUACUACUUUCCCUAAAUGGCUGAAUAUAGGGGUUAUUCUUCAUAUGGGCUUACUCCUUUUGGACUGCAAAAAUGCAUGCAUGUUACUAUGAUUUUCUAGGGUCAAUUACUACCAGAAAUGUUAAAUGAUAUUUCAAGAAUACUACGUGGUGAUGACAAGUUAAACUCAUGAAAUCAAUUAUUACUUUUUGAAAACUCCCAAAAAUAUAUUAACCGACUCUGGUGCAGUGAAUUCAAAUGGCGCAGUAAAAAAGAUUCAAACAACAUGCAUGUAAAGGUAGACCGAAGCAGCAAUGAUUUUAAGCAAAAAGAAACUAAUUUACACUCCUCUAUUUAAACAGAAUAAAUUGUACAAUCUUUAGCAGUUAUGCUACAAUAUUGUCUUAAUGCAUAAAGAAAAAUAUAGGUUCAGUAUGAAGAUGCAUGAAAUUUUGGCUCUCGCUUUUAAUUUCUAAGGACCACUGUGUGUGUGUGUGUGUGUAACACUUUCCCUUUACCGAAAGACAUUCUUGCUGCAAUAGACAAAUAUAUAAAAUCUGUCACCUGCAUAUGUACGCAUUGCUUCUGUGAAAUCAAUGAAUGAUGCAAUAAAUGCAUGCUCUUUAUAACUCAUCAACUUAACUCUCUGUAUGCAUGAUACCUAAUAAAUUCCAAAAAAAAACAAAAAAUCCAGGUUUCGAAUUGGUUCAUCAAUGCAAGGGUGAGACUGUGGAAGCCCAUGGUGGAAGAUAUAUACAAAGAAGAGACCAAAGAUGAGGAGCAGAAAAAAGUGACAACAGUAAAUCAUCAUGCAGCCAAUGAAUUAGCCAAAUCAGUUGAUUCAGUGGAUGAGGAGGACCACCACAACCAAAACCAAAGCCAAAACCAAAACCAAAACCAAAACCAAAACCACAACAUAGUCUCUGCACAAACUCCAAUGACCAACAGUAAAACAACAACAGCAACAACAAUAUUAUCCUCAUCAAUCACAACUAUGACAUUGGUAGACGGGCGAAGAUCCGAAAUCAAUGCUGUAGAAAAAGACCCUUCAAAGAACACCAUCAAUAAUGGACAGUACACCUUGGGAAACCAAGCAAUUCUUCAAGGUACCCCCUCAACUACAACUCCAACCUCCCUGAUCUCAUCACCCACAUUUGGUCAUCAUCAUGGUCAAACCUUGCCUACAUAUGGUUGUUUUAUGGCCAUCCCUGAUGAGGCUCAUGUAGGCAUGCAUGGUAAUGCUACUUCCCGUGCAACAAAUAACAUUAAUACAUCCGGAUCCCUUGUUGGGAUGGGGAGCACUAGUCAGGCCGGGGAUGUUUCCCUGACUCUGGGACUUCGGCACCCCUCAUCAAAUUUGCCAAGAAAGAGGACUGAGUUCUCUUUAAGAGACUUUGGGGCAUUUUGAGUGAAUGAAAUUAUUGAUAUAUGACAUAUAUAUAUAGUUUCGUAGUAGAAAAAUCAUAAGAAUGUAUGAGUGGAAGAUAUUAGUGCAUACAUAAACUAUAUAGUUUCUAUUUAGCUGUUUGAAAACGUAAAGUUGGUUGCAAUUGUAUAAAGGAGUGGUAUAUGGGUUGUUUUUUUUCCCCUUUUAUGAAAUUUGUUUGGGAGAAUUUUCAUCAUUACUAGAAAAAAUGAGUAGCUCUUUUUUGUUUUUGUGCGCUUUUCGCUCUUAUAAUUUGCUGGAACAUAUUUUGGUUAAUGACUAUCAUCCAUCACUCCCAGGUUAGCUUCGAAUGCAAUUAGUGAACUGAAUUGUCAUGUAUAUUAAAUUAAAUAACUUAGUGACAUAUCUUCGUUGUCCAUUAUAAGGAGGACACUUGUUCGUAUACAGCCAGUAAACACAGUAUGUCGGAUGUGGACAACAUUGAAUUCUGGUAAUAAGCUAUCCAUAUACAUACAUAUAUAUAUAUAUCUGUGUAUAUAUGUAUAUAUUAGACAGAUAGAUAUAUGCCCACGUGUGGUUAAUUUGUUUGCCAAGAUCCUUGAUCGAUCUCUAGUUGUUUUAAUAUAAGAGAGUGACGUGCAUCAAUAAUGUGAACAGAAAUCUCAAGUCCACAAGCUGUUAAUUCAGAAAAUGAAUAAGUAGAGAAAGGGAGAGAAAAUGGCUCCUUUAUGGAGAAAGAUUGGAGGGACUUACAAUUAUUACUCAUAAGAACACUAGCUACCAUCGCAAUAAUUUUGAAUUUGGUUCAUUCGGGUCCCUAACUAUCUAAGGUCACACUUGAUUACACAUGUAAUCACUUACUAAAUUAGCUAAUUCUUCAUGGUUUAUGCUUCUAUUGAAUAUGCUGUGUCAUGUCUAAAAGACUCCAUUUUGUGAUAACUUUGCAGUCGUCACUGAGAAAUAUUAUCACUAAUGACUAAUUUUUAUAGUGAAUUGUGCAAAACGGAGUGUCAUGUGACCUAAAAUUAAGGAGUUCAUACACGCAAUAUUUACUUUUUCUCCAACGAGGCCACUGCCUUUCUUCUCUAAUUAAAGAGGAUAACAUUAAUUUUGAACUUUAUCAAAUGUGGACAUGUUUUCUGUUUAAUCAAAAGGAAAAAAAAAGAAAAGAAAACACCUAUCCAGCACAUUUCUUACGAGUUUCUAAGAAUAGCUCCAUAUACACUGUAUAGGAUGCUGAGGUCUCCCAGAAAUUUAGGAUGCUUUUAUCAUGAAACUUUUAAGUGACACGAACAUGAAGUCAGAUGCAGAUGCAAAUGCACUAUUUGAAGAUAAAGUAGUCAUUAACUUGAGGAGCACAAUCACUAACCUGGUACUGUUUGUUUCUGGCAACUAGCACAGCUUUUGUUAAUAUUUACACUGAAAGCAUGCUAAUAGUACUAAUGUCCAUGGUCCCCACUCAAAAGACGCAUGAUUGAUGGUUCUUGAUGUUUAACUUUUAUUUCUCAACGCUUGAAAAUGUCAGAUUUAGUUGGUCUCCAGUGAAUCCUAUUACUACCAAUAGUAGUUAUGUGUCUGGUAGUACAAUUUUUUGAGAGAAAUUUGUGAAAAAUCCAGCAUCAACAAGUUAUUACAGCAAUAAAUUACAAACAAUGGAUGUGCUUUGAACUUCUACAUUUCUUGCCAAAAGAAGAAGAAGAAAUCAAGUGAAGCAACUAACUGAUUUUCGACAACAUAAGGUGAUUUAGUCGAUAAAGAAGGGCUACUUUCUCACAAAAAAUCGUGUGCUCGAAUUUUACCACCAAUGUGAGACAGUGUUGGUGGGUGAUCCACAAGAACCCCUCUAAAUGAAGUAUAAUUUCAAGACAUGCCUUGAUCCAUGGUUGUGAUUGAAACUGAAUCCAUCCAAACUCUUUCGUAUAAAAAAAAAAAAAAAAAAAACUGAGUUCCCUUCUUUUACCAGCAUUACUGUAAUAAGUUCUAAAAAAUGGACUACAUAAGCUCAUAAACUGAGCAUAUACAGUUGCAUUUGCAUUAGUUAGUACAAAGUAAUCAUGCAAUAUGUUACGUCAGAUUCUGGACAAAAUGAAUAGAAAAUUUUGGAAUUGAGCAGCUCAUUGCUCCAUCCUUGGGUGGGAUGACUGCCUGUUCACAUUUAAGCAGAUAUGGGCUUUCACGGGUUUAUGAUCAGAACUGCUGAUGGU